rnacentral:lncRNA from 1 species
UAUCAACUGCAGUUGCUUUCGAGCAUGGCCAAGAUUCACAAUGUAUUUCAUGUUUCUAUGCUCAAGAAAUAUCACCCCCGAUCCAAGCCACGUGUUACAAUUGGAAGGAAUUGAGGUGGAUGAGUCGUUAACUUAUGAGGAAGGACCAGUUAAGAUUUUGGAAAGAGAAGUAAAAGAAUUGAGAAGUAAGAAUAUUCUUUUGGUGAAGAUUCUAUGGAGAAAUCAUGGAAUGGAAAAAGGCAACUUGAGAACUAGAAGAGGAUAUGCAGAGGAAAUACCCCGAAUUAUUUCUUUAGAAGGUGAGAAUUUUGAGGACAAAAUUCAUUUAAGGGGGGAGGAUGUGAGAACCUUGAAAAAAUAUAUAUAUAUAUAUAUACAUGUUGCAUUUGCAUUUUAGACUCUUAAUAACUUUUAUUAUUAUUGGUUCUUGAAUAAGUAUGUAAAAAUAAUUUUUUUUUAAGUUACAAAUAAUUUAGUUGUGCCACAAUAUUAAAUUAUUUGAUUUUUGCCAAGUUAAUAUAAUAUUUCUUGAUAUAGAUUAACUUAUUUGCUUUUGUAGUAAUUCUUUGAAUUUCGAUAACUAAUUCGUAAGUGUUUAUAAUUGUUAAGUGUCAACGGAAUCUAGAAUUAAGACGAAAUCGUUUUUAGGUCAAAACCCUUUAUAAUUACACUUAGGACGUUGAAUCUCGAUAAUUUAAUUUUUGUGAGAUUAGUACACUAGUAGGCUAUCGAAUUUCAUUUGGGGUAAAUUUUAGAAAUAGAUUACGAAUGAGAGCUUAAGUGAAGGGCGAACAAGUUGUUAAAAGACCAAAUUAGCCUUCCUCCAUUUCAAAUUAACCAUGCAGCCAUGGAACCUCCUAGAGCAAGCUUCAAAUCCAAACAUUUCCAGCUUGCCGGUCCCAUUCUUCACACUUAACAUUCCUUAUUGCCGGUUCCAUUCCCCACUAUCACACUCUACUAUAUCAACUACCACCACAACACUUCCAUUUCAUUUGCUUAUUCCACACUUCCAUUUUUUUUUUCUGCCACAAGCCAAGAGUGAAAUGAGAAAGAGAGAGAGAGCCGAGCCUUUUACUCUUUUCCUUUCUGUUCGAAAGCUAGGAAAAAAAAAGAGAGACUUGCUGUUCAUUCUUCACUUCAUCCGUGAGCUGGUGAAGAGGACCGAGAGCUAAAUUUCCUCCAUUCUAGUCGCAAGUUUGAGCAAGGGAGAGGGAGAGUAGGCGGACUGCAAUUCUAGACUGCCGAGAGGAAAGAAAUAUUUUAGCUGCUAGUCGCGUGAUUUGAGCCUUAAGCUGAGGUAAUUUCUGAACUUAGACUAUUUGAUUAUUGGUUGAUGAAGCUGUUUAGGGCAUGCAUGUGAGGGUUGUGCGGUUGGAAGAAGAAUUAAGUCACAAGAAAACUGGUUUUGAAAGAAUUUGGAGUUGCCGAGAGCUUGAGCUGGAAAUUACAGCUUGAAUUGGCCAAUUUGUGGUGAUCUGAGUUUAAUUGUGUAUUUAGCUAACUAAAAACUGGAUGAUUAUGCUUUGCAUGAGGUUAAUCAGCUGUGAGUAAGUCAGAAAAUUGAAGGGAUACAAAAUCUGCUUGCAUGCAAGCUAACCGAGAAGGAUUGAAUGAAAUUCUGGUUGGAUGGCAACUUUUGAUGUUGUCCGAACUUAGUUUUGGAUCAAAACUGAUAGAUAGCUAAUUAUUUUGAUCAUGCAUGUAGCUGAUAUGAGUCGGUUAGAAAAAAAAGAAAAGAAAACUGAAAAAAAAAUGCGGCCGAGAGAAGGGGGUGGAGCACUUGAUCAGUUUUCCUUCGAGUUUUAGCUAAGAUUUUCAUACUGGAUGUUUAGGAUUAGCUCGUAGCUUGCUAAUCACCUUUUGCAUGUUAAGUUGAAAAAAAAAAUUAAAGAAAAUUAUGGACAAAGCUCUAUAAGUAAACUGUUGUAUUGCUGGAAAUUGUAUAUGGUUGCUGGCCGUGUUAGUUGAGGUUUUUGGUGAGAUUAUUUUCUGGAAUGUGUGUGUUAUUGUUUUGGUUUUGGUUGGACAGAUUAUGAGCUAUGUUUCUAGUGUUUCAAGUAAGUAAAAGAUGGAGGUUUGAUGUGGCAUCUUGAAUUGUCAUUGCUGGAAUUUUUUUCUUGGUUGUCAAAACAAGGGAAAAAUCUGAAUUUUUAGAGUUAUUUGGGAGUUAUGUUGGCUGUGACUCUCUUUUUGUUUUGGGUUGAAAUUUUGAUUGAAUUGUAGUAGGAAGUGAUUAUUGUUGUCAAGAGCUAAUGAUUGAUGAAGCUCUUGGCCAUUUGAGUAAUUUUUGCAAGAGUUAAAUUCUUUUGGUGGAAUUAUUUAAGUGGUUGGGCCGAAAUGUACUUGGAAGAUUCAUGAUUUGUGAUUUGGAAUUAUUUUGAUAUCUUGGACUUCCUUUGUUUAAUUUUGGUUAAACUGAACUUGUUGAGACUAGGGUUAAUGAUUGACGAAUCCUAGUGAAAUUGAUAUUUGAAUUGUGAUUUUGCUAUAGUGGCAACUUGGAAUAUAAUGUGCAAAUGAAGUGGGAAUCGUAAAGUCCGUUUUGGUCGUUUGAAUUUGAGUAUUUUUAAACCAAGCUUUGUUGAUAUAUUUUGUCUUAAUAUCAAGCUAUAAAAUUGAGUAUAGUACGAUAAUGCUCAAAUUUGAGUGUCGGGACUUUUAAAAAAAAAAAACUUUGCUACCUAGUAAUUCUUUUCUUUACUUAAACUAGCUUUGUUACCUUUAAGAAAUAAUUGCAUUAACUUCCGAACUUUAAAUUUUUGUAAAAUUAUUUCCUGGCUAGUUGUUUUAGAGGAAAAUUGUUAAAAACACUAGAUUUUAAUAAUUUUAAAUGAAAGGCAUAGAAAACUUGUUCGGCAAGAAAACUUGUUUGAGUUAAAUUGAUUUUAGUUACCUUCUAGAAAGAAAAGUAUCUUUAAAGAAACCAUACGAAAUAUUCUAUCACUUUUAUUAGUUUAAUUUUAAGAGAAUUGUUGAUUUUUUGAGAAAAUAAACUAGUUAUAAACCAGAUAAUCUUUUAUAUAUAUAAACCAAGAGUUUAUAUAGUAAAACUUAUAGUUUUUAAACUUGGUCUUUUAGGGUUUAGCAAGGACGUGGACUUCGAUUCCCAGCUUGACUUUUGAGUUUCACUUUUGGUGAGUGUCCGUGCUUGUUCUAUGUUUAUCUUGUUAAAGUGCUUUCUUGACUUGUUAUGUGAUAAUUGGAAAGUCGUUUUCCUGAUCCAUCGAAGUGGGCAGUGUGUACUUUAUCGUUCUAGCCCUUUCGAGUGGUGACUUACUUGAAAUGUUUUCUCGAAUAUCUUGCUUGCACUAGUUAAGUGCUGAGUGGGAGAAUGUACCACACCUGAGGGUGGGAGGGCCUCUUAUCCUAACUCAAGUACCAAAACCUUGCAAUUGUUGACUGGAGCGUGGACUCGUCAACUAAAUUACCAAGCAGGGGAAUGUACCACACCUUAGGGUGGGAGGGCCUCUUAUCCUGACUUGGUAACCACUUGUUGUGACGUCGGUGGGUGAAUCCCUCGACUAGGCUAUAAAAGGUAUACUCGAGUAUUACCAAACCCUCUCGUGAGAAGGACGGGCCCAGUGGGAGUAAGUUGGUUGGAGCGUGUUAAGAAAAAAAUAAUGAAUCCACAUGGACCUUAGAUAGUGAAAGUUGAUGGAGGGUCAACUGCGGCUAAUUUUGAUCAAGUUCGUGGAAAAUGGCUCCUGAGAGCCCUGUAUCCUACUCUGUGCUGUUAAAUGCUUUCCUACUUGUUGAAUUUAUGCUUGGAUUAUUAUUUGCUAUUUGUUUUAUAUGAUUGCAUGUUUGGGGCACCACUGAGUUUUGGCUCACCCCACGUUAUUUGUUUUCCUGAACAUGUUGUAGCUUUUGAGAGACUUGAAGCUUACCUUUGGUUUUUUUUUUUUGUGAAUAUUGUGUUGAAUCGGACUAUGUAUCUUUUGUUUUGGGUUGCCACUUGAAGCUGGAAAAGUCCAAACCCUAAAUUUUGGCUUGUAUGAGUGUAUUUGAAAUUUUAUGAUUUCAUUUUGUGGUUUGUAUGUAUAAGUGCAGUUAAGUGUUAAACUGGUUGGAGGUGUACUUAAGAGUGAACGUUCAGAUGUCCAAUGGAAAUGUUAUCUCUGAAGUUAAUGUGUUCCUUGUAUUCUGGUCGUUUAAAGAUUGGCUUGUUCGAGUGAUGAAUUUUGCUUUGGUUCAAGUUGUACAAGGAAAGGGUUUAGUCGGUUUCCUUGCGUGAGUCCUGACGAGAGCUAGACAGGCGACCUGCCAACCCUCUGGUUCGCCUUAGGGAGAAGUGGGUCGUCACAAACACAACGUCUAUGAAUAGAAUUAAAAGAAAAUUAGCAAACGAAACAAUUUAAAGCAUAUACUUCGUCUAGAGUGCUACUAAAUGGUUGAAUUCAACAUUAUAGAAAAUUAAUUCGUCACGUGAGUAUUCUUUAGGGUAAACAAUUUUUAAUUUUUAGUACUCAUUCCUGAACUUUAGAUGCUGAUCUCUUUAACUUUGGAUACUAAUCCCAAAGCUAUUAUUCUUUUGUAGAAAUAGAGAGUAUCAAAAAAUUUUCAUAAAUAUAAAUAGGUCAAUUGGGUCUUUCCCACUUUGUAAAACUAUCCUUUUGACACCUAAAAUUUGUCAUCUGGCUAUCAUAACUUUGCUAGAAUAGUAUGACUUGACAUCAUGUGUAUAAUAAACUAUCACAAGAUUUGUGAAUUCUUUAUAGGGAUAAUUUCAGAAACCUCAGGAGAGGUUUCUGACAUUUUCACUGACAUCCCUUGAGGUUCUAAAAAUUUCAUUGACUUCUUUUGAUAGAAAAUUGGGCCCCUUUGCUGACAUCACGGAGGCCAAAAUUGCUAGUAUGUCCUUUGAAGUUGGGGUUUAUUACUACUGUGUAGUUGGAAAAAAAGGCAUCUAAAGUAGUUAAUUAAACUUAAUAGCAAUAACAAAAAUUUGAUGGUUAGUGCAUGAAUUAAACCUGGAUUAGUGAGGAAGGUGCCCAUUGAGCUAUAAUAUUGGCGCCAUUUUUGUGCCUGCUAUGAUUUGACAAGGAGAUGGGAUCACUUAUCUGACAUUCUAACCAUAUAAAGUGCAAGAGAAGAAAUAUACAGGAGAAGAAACAAAAGGAAAAAGGAAGAACAAAUAUUUGGAGGAAAUUGUAUUAAACCGAUGCUCCUAAUAUGUGUUGGAGUAGCAGCGGCAAAGUGAAAAAUUUAGUUGUUGUAAAAUAGUUGCAACCACAAUAGUAUAGGUAUGAAUUUCUUUCUUAACUUUCCUUUACUGGUACCAGCCAUACCACCUCUGAUUGUUGCCUAAGUCUUGAUAUUGAAUAUUCAAUUUGUUUUUAAGUGAAUUUUUGAGUUGAUCAUUGACACUUAACUCAAGCCAUUGCAUAUUAUGUGUGUUAACUGAAGUUUUGAGUUGAUCAUAAUGUUGAAAUCUUGUGCUACAGGUAUGCUGUGAAGAUUGGUUGAUCAUAAUGAUUCAAUUGUUAACGAAAAUUGAGUAGCAUGCUGCUGAGUAAUAUAACCAAUGUUUUCAGUUUCUACAUGAAUUUUCUCAACAUGCUCUAUUUGUGAUCAUCAUCAUAUGUGAAUGCUGAGAUUGUAGGAUGGGGACUUUUGCUACUACCUAUGACAUUAUGGUUCACUCUAAUGGGAACAAAAUCAGGAUUCCAAAUAUGGAUCCAACUGGCUAUAUGUACAUCAACUUGCUAUUUGAUGUAACUGAGAAGGCGUUGAGUAAAAUGCCUAGGAAUCUUAAUAUGUUUAUGCAGAUGAGAUGUGAAGUUCCUAGAAAAAAUUGCAUGAUGGAUGUUAAUGAUGAUGAUUCAGUUACUGAUGUUCAAAAUACAUAAGUCUAAACUAGUAAUUAACUUGCAUGUCUCUGAUAUGGAAAUUAUUCUAGCUAAUGAAAAGAAUACCUUAGUUAAUGUGAGAGUUAUGAACACAGAAUAUAAUUUAGGCAUUGAAAAAUUUCUAGCAGGCAGUUGUAGACAUUGGAGAGUCAGAUGAUGACUAUGGUGACUCUAGCUCUGAUUCUUCAUGGAAACCAACCUGCAUAGUGACACUGAGGAGGAAGUAGUGAUGAUAGGCCUUAAAUGCAUAUAGUGAGGACAGUGAUACUAAUUUUCUGAUUUUGAGGACAAUGAGGCUCUUGUUAUGGUUCUUGAUUCUGAAUUUGAAGAAGAAAAUGAUCAUAUGAGACAAGUAAUGACACAAAAAAUGUGGAUUUACAUAGCAAAGAUGAGAUAGAGUUUCAAAAGGGUUAGUUAUUCACUAAUGUGAAUCCUUUCAGGGCUACCUUGAAAGACUAUGUCAUUCAACAAGGCUUUCCCAUUUUGAGAUUAAAGACUAAGAAGAGUCAAGUUAUUGCUAUAUGUGGGUUGAGGGAUUUCAAUGGAGAAUUCAUGCAUCACCAAUGGCUGAUUCAAUCACUUUUCAGAUUAAAACUUAUCAACCAGAACACACUUGUGUUAUGGACAAACAAUGUACUGAGGCCACAUCUGGCUAGAUGGCCAAGAAGCUGGUUUCCACCAUGAGGAAGCAUCCUAAUAUGACCAGCAAAGGGGUAGAGGCAGAGUUGCUUAAGCAUGGUGUGAAGUCUAGUAAAAUGCAAAUUUUUAGAGCUAAAAACAAAGCACUAACUGAGAUAGAAGGCACACAUGCUAAAUCAUAUGGGAAAUUGCCAAGAUAUGCUGAGCUGCUGGGGAAAUAUAAUCCCAAUAACAUAUGCAAAAUACAUUAUGACAGGCUAAUCUCUUAGUUGAGCCUACCUUUCUCAGAAUCUUCAUCAGUUUCAGAGCACAAAAGUUAGAACUUUUGGAAAGGAGUAGGCCUUUUGUGGGGUUUGAUGGCUGUUUCUUGAAGGGUCCGUUUGAUGAUAUACUUCUCACAGCAGUUGUUUUGGAUGCAAAUAGUAGCAUAUUUCCUUUAGCCUUUGCUGUAGCUAAAUGUGAGAGCAAGAAAACUUCAAGGUGGUUCUUCUACUAUUUUUCUGAGGUUUUUGGACCAUUUGAUAACAGCAAACCUUUAACAUUCAUAAGUGAUAGGCAAAAGAUAAAAUUUGUGUCCAUAGCUUUCAUCUUUUAAUCUGGAAAUGGUUGCUAAGUCAUUUUGUUUUGGUUACAGGGAUUAAACCUUGCUUAUAAGGAGAUAAUUCCUGAUGCAACAAUUUCAAGAGUCAAUUUCCAGGUAUCUUACUUAGCAGUUUUUUCUGGAGGCAGCUAAAAGCUAUGAUUCAAUAGGACAUAAUGAUGCAAUGGCAAGCAUUAAAGACAUUAACAUAAAUGCUUGGAAAUAUUUGGAUAAAAUCUCAAAAACUGCCUGGCGUAGACAUGUAUUCUCAAUUGAGUUGAAAUGUGAUCAUGUCACAAAUAAUUUUAUUGAGUCUUUUAAUGCUUGGAUUGGUGAUCAGAGAGGAAAACCCAUACUCACUUUGGUCGAUGGUUUAAGAAGAAAAUUAAUGAAAAAAUGCACAAAAGGUACUAGAAAUGGUGCUCCUUGACUGGUCACAUUACUCCCAGAAUUGUUGAGAAACUAAAAGAAAUUGGCCAAGUAUCAAGAAAAUGUGAGAUGCAUAUGGCUAGUGAAGACACAUUCGAGAUUGGUGAUAUGGAUAGGAUCUACGUAAUCAACUUGAGCCAAAAAAUCUAUGAUUGUGGUGCUUUUCAAAUUUCUGGAAUUCCAUGCAAGCAUGCAAUAUUAGGAGUUAUAUAUAGGAGAGAAAAACUAGAGAACUACUGUGAAGCUUGGUUCACAAAAGACAUGUAUUUAAGAACUUACUCUCGCAUGAUUCAUCCCAUUCCUGACUAGAAUAGAUUGCCUCCUAUGCCUGAAGUGCUGCUAACAAUUGUGUUGCCACCAUCUCUGAGAAGAGCUCCAGGUAGACCAAGAGUAAAUAGAAGAAGGGAAACUGAUGAAAAUACUUGCAUAGCACAGGCAAAGAGGUCAAGCACUCUUAAGUGUGGAAAUUGUGGAGCUUUUGGUCACAACAAGAGGACUUGCAAAGGAGCACCUAUGCAGAAAAGGAAUAGCAAUAGUGCUUCUACUGAACCAGUAUACAUUGGCCAAAAUAUGGUAAUAAUAGCUGUAUUCUAACUAUUACUUAUAGUUAUACUAAAUUUGGUAUCACAAAUGGCAAACAGAAAAGGCAUACCAGGUAGAAGAAUGGCCAAUGUGGGUUUGUCAGGAGCUGUUCUUUGGGUAAACUGCAGUUAUCAUAAUCAUUCCUCCCCUACCUAAGUUAUCUAUAGCAAAUCUCAUUGCAGCUUACAUAUCAUGUCUUAGGAUCAUGCAUGAGGAAAUGUACCUAUUGUGCACUCCAGUCAAGGGAGCAAUCCAGGUCCUCCAAGUCAUAAUGGAGCAGUACAUGGUACAUGUUCAAGUGAAUGUGCAAACUAUUGCAACUACUCAUGCUAAUAGAAAGGUAUGAUCCUAAUCCGCUAUCCAUAUUUCUGUCAAUAACAUAAUUGGUAGCUACUAUUUUUUGUCUGAUAUAGUUUAUAUCUCAAAUGUAACAGAGAGGAAGGCCUUUUGGACACAAUCUUGCAACUUCUGUAGCAAGCAUUGGUGGUAGGACCAAAAAAUCCAAGUCUGCUCUAACUAAUCCAGUUGUUCCAGUUCCACCCGUCACAUCUCAAAAUGCUGUAUCUAUUAGCAUAAACGCAUCUACAAAUGAGCAUACCAAAAACAUUAGUAGUACCAGUAAAAUUCUAGUUGUUAGCUAUGUGUACUUGAAACUUUUCUAUUAAUGCUUUUGUUAAUGUCUUCUUAUAGUCAUUAAGAACUGUGGAAUUGCAAUCCUCACUGUCUGCAUACAGUGUUUGAUGUAGAUGGGGUUUUGUAUUGUUGGAUUUUAGUGAUGCACACAUGCUCUUCUUACUAAUAUGCUUAAGGCAUUUUAGCUAAUGUAAUGUCCCUGUUUGAUCUUUAAUUUGUCUUUUCAUUUUACCUUUCAUAUAUAACUAUUUGCAAACUUGGCAUAGUGGAUGACUAAGAAAUAAUCACUACAAGAAAUUUGGUCAUCAGUGACAACAACAUGUCAUCACAAGACCUAGAAAUGUCGUCACUAAUGACUUUUAUUGACGACUUUUGAAUCGUCACAGAGUCGUCACUAUACCUCCGUCGUAAAGUAGUAUAUAGUGACAACACAAAAAGUCGUCAGUGAAUGGUUGUCAUUAGUGACAACAAUGUGAAAGAGUUUUAUUGACGACUUAGCGUGUUGUCAGAGAUGUAUUGAUCAGGGUUGUCACUGAAAAGUGUCAGAAGGUGUCACUUAUAUGAUCUACUUAUUGACAACAUUUGUUGUCACAAUUGAAGUUUGGAGUUAGUGACACGCUUUGUUGUCACAAAACGUUUUUUUUCUUGUUCUGUAAUAGCUUUUUUUUGUCAUUAGUGACCUUCAACAUUGUCAGUUCCAUUUCAAUAAACUCACAAUUUAGCAUGGUAAAUUAUUUAUCUAAAAUAAAUAAAAAGAAGUAACUUAAACAAUUGAUAAUCAAAAGUAGUUGUUGCAUUGGGCUACAUGCCAAUAUAGCAUAUUAAGUACUCAAAUGUCACAUCACAAAAGUAACACUGUGCCCAAAUAUCACAAAUUCAUAAGGUACGUUUACAAAAGGAAUUAAGUUCAAGAAACCAAAAAAUAUCCAAGUGAACCCUUGCAUGAGCAAAUUGCGACUUUGUCUUUAACGUCCUUCAGUCUUUGCUACGGACAGCUCCCAAAAUUUUGUUUAAAUAGCAUUUAUCUGUAAUCAAGUAGUAAAACAAGUAGAUAAGAGGAGGAUUAAAACACUGAAGGAGAAGUAACAAUACUUAGGUUGCUUGGCUAAAAUAUGCAGUCCAAUAAGAACCUCAAUAAUUAAAGCUGUACAUUAAAAAUCAGCCAAAAAAAAAAAACCAAAAUCAGUCCCAGAAAAUCAAAAUCAGCCCCGAACUAUUGCACAAAAUCAGCUCAAGAAAUAAGUACUGCUAUGAACAAUAUAACCAGUUGAUAAGACUACAAGCACAACACUAAAGGAAAAGCAACUUUGAUUCGCUUGCUUAGCUAAACAUUCAAAUAAACUAAACUGAAUUGAAGUAAUGUCAAUCACGAUACAAGGUGUCGAGCUACCCAUUCAUAUCGGAGAAACUGAGGCAAUGUGUACCUCAUUUAUAUAGAGAAACUGAUGCAAUGCGUAUCGUGAGAAAGAUGUCUAUGGGUUGCUCAAUUUUUACAACGCAUUUCUCCAAACCACUAGAGGAUGAAUACAUGGAGUGGUACUGCAUAAACAAUAUUAACAUUAUCAAAAUCCAUAUGCCCAAAUUACUCCAAUCACAAUAAUAACUAAAGCUACUGAAAAGCAUUGGCAUUGCCGUGUAAAUGCUUGUUAAAGCAGUAAAUACUGUAAAUUGCAAGACUUAAUAGCUACCAUCCAAGGUCAGAACUCAUCACUAUCCUAGCUUGUGCUCAAACACAUUACCUCAAUAAACACUUCAAUAUUUCAAAACAACAUAUGCUAAGCUUAGAGAGCACAAAUUUCUGUAAUGAAAGAUCCAAAGUUCAAAACUUUCAAAGUUAAAUAAGAGAACUUUAAAAGCAGCAAAUUAAAGAAAAACAAUUAAGUCACCUCUUCGAUAAUCUUCGUUUCCACUCUAUCUUUAACACUCCCUCCUAGCUUCAAGAAUUCAGUAUUGCUUAAAAUCUAACAAAGUAAAUACUCGUCAUCAAUUCAAGUAAAUAAUAAGAUGAGCACCCUGUCCACCAUUUUACUCGUCAUCAAUCAGGUACAUUUAUUUUUCAAGAAAGAAAAACAAGCACCCUGUCCUCUUCACGAUAUCCUAUUUUAUGCCCUAAGGUAGAAUCCUCUGAAAACCAUUGCAAAUUACACUUCAAAUCACAAACUACUCCAAGUAUAAACUACUUCACCAUACUUAAGUAACCAAAACUGAAUUGCAUGGAGAAAUAAAAGAUAAUUAAGGUAAGAACAUAUAUGAUAAUUUGACCCAAAAAUCACAGGAAUUAGUUAGCUUAGAGAUCGCCUACAACUUGUUUAUAUGCAAUGUCUCCUAGAUAAAAGUGAAAAUUGUCAAUUUUACAAAAACUUUGUUAACAAGGCCCUGGUGUUUGAAACAAGUAUAACAUAGAUGGCAAAGAGUAUAUAUUCACCCAAAAACCAUCACAUAAUUGGAAAUUCCAUAGCAAGGACCAAUAGCAUCAGCAGAAUAAGCUGCAAGACAAUAACAAACCAAUGAAGUCCCAAUAAAACGAUACUAUGCAUUAUAAGCUUGAAGACAAUAGAUAAAAUGGUAGAUGUAGUUCUUAUAAGAAAAAUGUUUGCAAAUAAAACAUGUGUUUCCUUCUUUUAAUUUUGAUACUGACCUGUACUUGUUUUACAAUUGAGUAGGAUUGUUUUACAUCCAUUGUUAAUUUUACAUUUCUUUUCCUAUGUGUUUUUUUUUAGCAAAUAGUUAAUUAUCUAGAAUUAAUGGAGAUGUGCAAAAGUACACCUUGAAAAGUUGAUGCAAUGUCAAAGUUUGUUACAAAGAAAUGUUUGGUUGCCGAAGAAAUUAAACGCUCCAAUCACCUUCCCAAGUCGAAUAUGACAUCACAUCUCUUCUUCCGUUUUUUUUCCCAUAUUCUUUUUCAGGAGGGGGAGUAAUCUUCCAAAAAUGAAUCCAAUCAUUGAAUGAUCAUGUUCAUUAAAGGAACCAGUCCAAUCCAAUAAAAGAGCAAAGUCUAUAGCUUGAUUCUACUCUCUUGAAAGGUGCCUUUCCUCAGUUGGCAUACACAAUCAACCUUACUCUAGCAGUAACUUCAGGAUGAAGCUUCAAUUCUGCAAUGUAUUCCCCUGUUUCCCGGAUCUCUGGAACAGAUACUAUCCUUUUGUCCACAUCCCUCUGUGUCUGCGCCUUGAUUAUAUCAACAAGAUCCUGUGCAGUAACGCUUCCAAAAAUUUGUUUUCCCUUGCCACCUUUUCGCUUUACUUUGAAAGCUCCAACAGUUUCAAAAAUUAGAGCAAGCUGUUGUGCCUCUUCUCUCACCCUCUUUUUCUCAGCCUCAAUUCUCUCCUCUUCCAUCUUCAUUUCCUUGAGAAGUAGGGGUGUCACAAUUUGAGCCUUGCCCAAUGGGAACAAAUAAUUUCUAUAAAAACCAGCUUUAACAUCCAUAAGCGGACCCUUUUUGCCUAAGUCUGCUACUUCCUCUUUCAGUAUAAUCUUUCUGGUUUUCUUGGCUUUUUUUUGAGCCACCACCAUUAAAAUUGAAGCUUUCUCAGGCAAUUUUGUGGCUUCAGGUCUCAUGCAUUGGGUUAAGCAGUGACUGCUGAGCCAAGAGGAUGAACCCCAUGACAGACUUGCUGCUGCUGAUGCCAUUGAUAGUUUACUAUUCUACUUCCACUCUUUCCUCGAAAUAUUUUGAGUCUUAUCAAGAUGUGUAUUAGGGCUAUAAUUAUAGAUAUCUUCAGCCUAUAUAUUUGGUCUACUAGCAAAGACCAAAGCUUCAAACAGACCACACAAUUCAUACAAUCACACCUCCCACCUCUCAAAUCUUUUCUAAGUCAUUUUAUUAAAUAAUUGUAACAGCAUGUAUACCAUAUAUGUAAAUACUAUUAUUAGUACUAUUACUAAUUAAUAAAGCUCGUUAACUGAGAGCCAAUAGUUAAUUCUUGCUUUGAUUUUUGAUAAAAAUCCAAAUAAUUUCAAAGAACCCCUUUCAAGAAUCGUUUUUGUAGGAGCUUUAAUGGGUUGUUCUAGUUUAGCUUGGUUUCAAGCUAAGUUUGAACCUUUCUGGGAAUUUCGAAGAUUAAACUUUAAUGCAUUAUCUCUUUGCUAGGUCCAGGUUUAAGAUUCAUACAUUAAUCAUACCCUUCAAAGUAACACUACUACCAACUUUUAGUCUGUUACUCCACCCACAUUCUGCCUCCCUAUUUCUUUAACUCCUCAACUAACCGUUAGCCAAUCUUGGCAUAACAACAUAGCAAUAGGAUUGGCAGCAACCAACCCCUUCCCCUGCAACUUUUUUGUGGGAUCAAGACAUACAACAGAAGGAUUUUAAAACCUACAAUUUUCUGAAUAAAAAUCAAGCAAUAAAUAUAGCAUAUUUCACUAGUUCUAAAAAUAAAUGAAGAGAGUAAAUUAUGUCCAAAACAGAACAAUAGAUUAAUGGUGGCAAAAUGUGCAAAUUAAUAAAUUGAAAAUUGGGGAAAAAUUAGGGAAACAAGUAAAGACAUGAGAGGACAUACCUAAGCAUUGACCUUGUAGAACUGGAGGACGGCAAGCCUGACCUUCUUCUUCUUGUGCUUGAUCUUCUUGGGCUUGGUAUAGGCCUUCUUCUUGCUCUUCUUGGCACCACCAUGGAGGCGGAGGAUGAGGUGGAGGGUGGACUCCUUCUGGAUGUUCUAGUCGGCUAGGGUGCAGCCAUCCUCCAGCUACUUGUCGGUGAAGAUGAGGCACUGCUGGUCUGGGAGGAUGCCCUCCUUGUCCUGGAUUUUGGCCUUGACAUUAUCGAUGGUGUCAGAAGACUCCACCUCAAGGGUGAUGGUAUUCCUUAUCAGGGUUUGCAGGUCAAUUUCGAAACCAAGCCCUCAGUUUCGAGCUUUUCUGGGUGUUUUUCAAUCGAUUUCAACCUGAGUUGGAUGACGAAGUUGUGGCGCUGGCGGAAGGAAGGCACUAUCGAGAGUCCGAGAGGGCGAUCGCGGCGGUAAUUCGGGGAUAAUUGAGGCUUCCAUGGCUGCCGGACUUGGUGAUGGUUGAACUGAACUUGGCCACAGAGGUCGUAACUCGCCGGCGGGUAACGCCGGUGCCCACAAGACGAAACAGACGAUGGACGUUGCAUUGUGCGGGUAAAAAAAGGGCAUUGGAAAAAUGCCAAAAACCCUGGAAAUGAGUUUGGGACUGAGAGAAAGUAGCUUGUAGCGACCGAGAGUGAAGAAGAAGUGUAACAAAAAAAGUGGAACUGCACCUAAUACUCUCUAUUUCCUUUCCUUAAUUUGCGUUAAAAUUUUCUUUACAAUGAAAAUUCUCAAGUUAGUUUCCUUAGGAUUUCAAGUAAUUCAUAAAUAUUUUAGUUUAAAAUUUAAAUCUCUUUUUUCCUUCAAUUACAUUGGAUUUUUUAGCCUCAAGACAAUCCAAGUCAAUUUUUAGCCUUCAAUUUUUAUUUAAAUAUUACUAAUGUAUUUCUAAUCACUACUUCUUAACAUAUUUAUCAAAAAAUCAUAAUGGAUGAAAAUUUUUGCUAAAUUCAAAGAACUAGUAAAUAUACUUUUUCUCAAGUUGUAAUAGUUUAUAUAGUUGUUCUAACUAAAAACUUUCAUUAAUUUUUUCCAAUUAAAAACCUAUUGAGUAACUAUGACUAGUUUUAAUAAAUCAUCAAAUUUUAAAAAAAUUAAAUUAAUAUUUGAGUAACUAUGACUAGUUUAAUAAAUCAUUAAAUUUUAAAAAAUUAAAUAAAUAUUGAGGCUCACAAUUAAAUAAAUGAAUUGGAGAUGUUCAAGUUAGUGAUGAUACUAUGUUGUCACUAAUUACGUUAUAGUUUUACUGACAAAAAUUGGUCAUCAAUAAAUAUAAACAGUGACAACAAUGAAAAGUUGUCAAAGAAAGAGGUAGAAUUACUGACAACUUUUAUCAAGUUGUCACUAUUGCAAAACUCGCGCCUCCCAAGUCCCAGGCGAAGUCAUUUUGUGAUGACAAUUAAUGGUUGUCACUGAAAAGUUAGCUGCUUUGAGUCAAUUGUGACAACCUUCAAUGUCGUGACUAAACAACCUCAUUUUGUGACGACUUUUUGUUGUCACUAGGAAAUGUUGUCACUAAUGACCUUUUUUCUUGUAGUGAAUGUAGUUGUUCAUUGCUUCACUCUAAAGUCUAAGAAGUUGCAUACAUGGUUUUACAUUGGUGCUUAAAAGAAUUCCAACUAACUUAGCCUUUUGUUAUGAAUCUCCUAUCACCAGAAAAGGCAUCAUUUAGUUGGUACAAUCUUGCAGUAGAUUAACAUGAGUUCAUCAAAUUGAUUUUACAAUUUGAAUGAAAAUAAAUAUAGUUAAUAGUGUGAGGUUUAUGAUGAUCAGCACAUUCCCUAAGGCUCUUGGUUUCAAAAAUUGCUUUGGCUCUUGCAUUGGCCCUCAACUUGCUUGACUGGAAUGCCACCUUUUUCUGCUAUUAACUUGUCCUCUCUUUGCAUUGAGAUUGCUUCUUCUGCUAUUUACUUUUUCUUCUUCACCUCCAUCAUACCAUUCAAAAUACCUGCACUUUGCACAACAGAAAUGCAAUUUGUCCAGAUUCUUUUCACUCUAUGAUAUCAUCAUGGUUGCCUUGCGAUUACAGCAGCAAAACCUGUUUUUAAUGGAGAAAGAUGAGGGUGAAUUCUAUGAUUCUCCUUUAUGGCUUGAAGAGGCCAUGGUUUCAGAUAAAACUUUUAACUCUCAGCUCUAAAUAAGCAAAUUAAAUUUGUUAUCACUCCAAAACUUGCAGCAAAGAAUGAUAAUAACUUGAGGGUGUAGAGGUAGUUAAGUUGCUUUAUAUACUACUGCUACUGAAACAAAAAUUUGGCUGUUGCAAUUUGCAUCUAGCCAUUGCAAUUGCUGUCAAAUAACUAUUGCAAGACAAAUCUAAUGCUUACAAGUUUUUGUAUUGCACUUCACCCCCUCAUCAUUCUAAUCAUUUAAUUUUCUUUCAAUCUUCUACUAAUACAAGGAGCAAAAGGGCGUCCAUGGAAUAAAAAUACCUUCUCACACAUGAAAAUUAUAUUGUAAUAUGAUUUGGACUGCAUUGUUACCAAAAACUGAAAAACAAAGAAGGUCAGUGAAAUUUAAGAAUCUCAGGAGAUGUCAGUGAAAGUGUCAGGGAUAAUUUUAGAAACCUCCCUAUCAGGGAAAUUUUAGAAACCUCAUCCCUUCUUUAUACCAAUAAACUUUUAUAGGAAAAUGAAUAGAAUACUAACUCAAACAAAUAACAUGUGACACCAAAACAAAACAAUUUAUUGAACGUCUCCAACAGAAUACAAUAUUUUCUUUUUUCAAAGUACCAAGGUGGGGACUAUAGUAUACAUUACUGCCUAGAUGUGUCUAUGAAUAUAUAUAUAUAUAUUUUUUCUUUUCUUUGGCUGAAAGAUUACAGAAUACAAUAUUUUCUUUUUUCAAGGUACCAAAGUGGGGACUAUAGUGUACAUUACUGCCUAGAUAUGUCUAUGAAUAUAUAUAUAUAUUUUUCUUUUCUUUAACUGAAAGAUUACAGAGUCAGAUUGGCGGAAAGUUCAGCAUCUAUGUUUUAGGUAUAGAGGUCAAAAUAAUGCGGGUUGUGAGUUGUGACAUAAUCUUGGGGCUGUCAGCUGUGCCACCACAAUAAAUCCGCCACUGGUUGGAGCCUUCUUUUAAGCAUGCGGUGUAUUUGAAAAGGAAAGACUUGGACCUUUCUAUGUUUCACAACAAUUGCACAGAUAGAUACUAGAUAAAACAGCCCUUCCUUUUUGAAAAUUGACCAAGUCCUCGUCAGUAGUUGAUUCUUCCUAUAUUCCAGAACUUGGAAUACUCAAUACUCAUUUGUUGGUUUAUUUAUUUGGUGGAAAGACUUGGAAUUAAAACUUCCAAUUACAAUCUAAUGGCAGUAUUUUAUUAAUAGAAGGAAUCGUAUUGUGUUUACUUCAAUUAAAAACAUUCUUCAAGGAUCACAAAAAGCCAAGACAAAGUAAUAGCUUCAAUUUCUCCUUACAAGUAGAGGGAGUGAAUUAGAUUUUAGGUUCUCCUUUGGUUAGGGGCAAGACUUGUAUAUGCAGGAAAUUAUCAUUUUUCGAGUAAAUGUAUGCUUUUUUUGUUUUGACGCCAUGAUGUGUCGGAUACCAACUCCUCGUAAAAAUAUUUUUUUAAUCAAGUUUAAUUUUUUUUUUUGUUACUAGUUUUAAGAAAAAACUCGAAAUGUAUGAAACAUAAUAAGGAAGUUAUGUAUUCACUAAAAGUGCAACUUCGCUCUUCCAUGUAGUAUCAAAUUUUGGAAAGCAAUCACAUUUCUGUGUGCAGAUUGAAAGUACAUAAAUAACAACCACAUCAAUUAACAGCUACACCAAUUCAGCUGGUGGUAAAAGAAACUACCAAGAAGUUUCCAAAAUCCGUAAACAACUUGCCUAUGCAGCGAUAUAAAUUGAACAUUACCCAUGAAGAUGACCAAGACAAAUAGAGUUAAUUAAGCUUCAGAAUGGCGAAUUUGUGUAUCCAACAAUGCUUAAUAGUAGUAUUAGUUGUCCUUGGAAGCCUAACAACCCCAUCAGAUUGUUUUCAUAGUGACCAUGACCAUCAUCCAAAAACCACUGCUGCCCUCUUCACCUUUGGUGAUUCACUUUUUGAUCCCGGAAAUAACAACUAUAUCAACACAACAGUUGAUUUUCAGGCCAACUUUCCCCCAUACGGAGAAUCUUUCUUCAAGUAUCCAUCAGGGGCGUUUUCUGAUGGCCGUGUUAUCCCGGAUUUUAUCGGUACAAGCAUGCACUCAAUCACGUCCUUAAUUUUCAUAUAUGUUCUUAUAUAACAGGCUAUAUUACUUUGUUGUAAUGACUAUUUUGCAGCUCAAUAUGCAAACCUUCCAUUCCUUCAACCCUAUCUCCAAAUUGGUUCCCAAUAUCAGUUGGCUUACGGACCAACUUUGCAUCUGGUGGAGCUGGUGCUCUAGCUGAAACCUUUGCCGGAUUUGUAUGUAAUUAACUUAUGUAGUUUAAUCAUGUAGCACUAACACUGAUGAUAGAAUUAAUAUUCUCAAUCAAUAUAGGCUAUUAAUCUCGAAUCAUUUCUCAGGUGAUCGCUUAAAAAGCAGCUGUGGUAUUUUAACGAGGCUGAGAAAAAGUUGAGGUCGAAUCUCGGUAACAGAAGAGCAGAACGAGUUGUGUCGAAUGCUGUAUACUUGUUCUGCAUAGGCAGUAAUGAUUACUCGACCGAUUCUACGAAUUCCAGCAUAUUUAAGUCGUCUACCCCAGAAGGUUAUGUAGCCAUGGUGGUUGGCAAUAUUACAACUGUUUUUAAGGUAAAACAGACAUAUUAAACCUGUAAAUUUAACUUUUACUGCUAGAUCUAAACAUAAAUUAGCUGUAGAGCGAUCACUAUAAAUAUCUUUAUUGUACAUGAAUAACAAGAAAUACUGUUACCAUAUUAAGCCUAACCUAAUAAAUUGAAGAAAUUUUCAUACUAUCGUUGGGCAGUUUCUUUGCCAUAAAGUUUAGUUUUUGGUAGUUUUCUUGUUAAGUAGUUUUGAGUACUCUAUCAGCUAUAGUAAUUUUUAUUGUUUACCAAGCUAUGUGAUAUAUAAAAUCAGGAAUCCUCUCUCUCUCUCUCUCUCUCUCUCUCUCUCUCUCUCCUCUCUCGCACAUAUAUAUAUAUAUAUAUAUAUAUAUAUAUAUCAUAUGAGUGUGUGAAAUUGAUCUCCCCACACCAACACUACUACUACUUGUGGAUCUUUGGAAACUCUCUGAUCAAUACCAUGCAUAACAGGAAAUAUACAAGAAAGGUGGGAGAAAAUUUGCCACUUAUGAAUGUUCCGGCUAUAGGUUGUAUUCCAGCCUUUAGAGCUCUUAACGUGGCUGCUGGAGGAAAUGGAGAGUGUGAAGAAGAGUAUGUAGCUUUGCCCAAGUUGCACAACGCCUUGCUUUCCCGGAACUUGAGCAGCUGCAGAAGCAGCUCAAAGGUUUCAAGUAUUCUAUUUUGACUUCUUCACCGUUCUCAAUGAAAUAAUUGACAAUCCAUCAAAAUUUGGUAAAUGCAUCUAACUUACUCCAGCUAUAGUUAACUUUUGCUCCUAUAUAUCGCAAAUUUUAUCUCGAUCUGAUCAAUGAAAUUACUCAAAAAAAGAUUGUAGAGUCUAUUAAUUUCACAUGCAAUUCAAAUAAGAUCAUGAAAUCUUCAUUUGCUCCAAUUGAUGGUAUCAAAUUGCGACAAAAACCAACUGCUGGGCUCUUGUUGGGUAAUUGAUCGCGACCAAGAUAAAAUUUCUCAUGCUUCUAAAUGUACGUGUGCUACCUUUUUAAGACAAUUCUAAUAAGCAUGCACGCAUGGUGGAGUAACUAAUUACUCUUUGUUUUUGCCUUUUGAUUUGAUAAAAAAAAAUAAAAAAAAAGGUUUGGAGGAAGCCAAGACUGGAUGCUGUGGAGGCGGUCCUUACAGAGGAGAUCAUAGCUGUGGAGGGAAGACGGCAAUAAAAAAGUACGACUUAUGCGAUAAUCCCCAAGACUAUCUGUUCUUUGACUCCACUCAUCCGACCCAAGCGGCCAACGAGCAGUUCGCGAAGCUCAUGUGGUCCGGAUCCACCAACCUUACAGGGCCUUACAAUAUCAAGUCACUUUUUCAGCUUUCUUAUUGAAGUUUAUGAUUCUUAAUGUCUGUUUUUUCACUUUAAGAAUAACAAAAAGCACAUGUUCUAUUUGUUCUUUUGCCAAAAAGUGUGUAUACAUGUGUUUGUUUCAUCAUAUUGUUUCACAAAUAGUUUGAAAUAAGCGUGUUUGACUAGAUGAAACUUUUGUUUCCUUUUUUUUUUUGCAAUACAAAAUUCAUUAUGUUUUCCUUUUUUUCUUUGCAUUUUUCUCAUAAUUAAAAACGCUAGUGAAUCAUCAAAACCUUAGUAUCGUACAAGAGCAUAUCAUAUGCUAUGGUAUGAUUCCAAAGAAGUCCCUAUAACAAAUCAGAUAUAAGGUAGUCAACAGCAAUGAUGUAAUGAUGGAUUCUAUAAUUAGUAUAAACCAGACUAGAUGUGCCGCUGUUCCAGGUAGCUCCCCCAAAACAAAAAAAAAAAAAAAAAAAAAAAAAAAAAAAGAGAGAUUGUGACAAAAGCAAGUGAAAAUGAUAAGAUUCAGCCUUUACAGGUAAUAAUUUUGGGUUCAAUUCUAACAAUUAUGUUAGACUGUAUUAAUUAGGUUUAUAAAUUCUUAAAGAAUCAUUUCUAUUGAACCCUUGAAAGCAAAAAGAAUCCACUAGACCGGAUUACUGCAACAACAGGGGCAGCUAUACAUCUAGUGAAAAUAAACAACAACAUGGAGUUUCAAGCAAGAAAGUUCCGGAAUUCUUGUUCACUGCAGAGAGCAGUAUAACAAUAUGUUAACCUUAGGCCUAAAGUGUUAUUUACAAAGAGUGUAUAUGAAUAGUAAAAGUAUUCUAAAUAAUAUUAUGUUUGCAUUACAAACAUGAUUUCAAUCAAUCACCUUUUCAUCUCACAUACAUUAUAUUAUAAAAAAUGCUAUAGUAAUUAUUUUAAUAAUGUUUCAAAUAAUUUCCUAUCCACGUACAGAGCUAACUACGUAUGGUCUAACAGGAUUCUAUCAAAAUAUGCACAACAUGUUAAUUGUUUCUUUUUCUGAUAAAAAAAAUCUGAAAUUGCUUUGCACGUGGACCAAACAAUAUCGAUGCACUGCAAGCGGCUCCUUCCACUCUGGCAAGGUUUUAUUGCAUUUAUCCCCCUGUGGCGAUCUGAAAUGAUGCAUAUAUUUUCAACUUCUCGACACAUGUGGUGGCAUAAUUGGGACAUAAACCAAGACCAACUCCAAUUGGUCUCCUCAUCAACAAGUGCGAAAGCAAGCGAAAAUUGACAUUGCUAGCAUCAAAUCCAACUGCUACUAAUAACUUUGACUUGUAUGUCCCUUUCAUGAAUGUGCCAUCAACACAAAUAACUGGUUUCAGGUGUCGAAAUGCCUCGAUAACGAGUCCAAAUGCCCAAAACACAUGGUGAAAAACUGUACAUCCAACAGUACUUUGUAGAUGAUGCUGCCAUACCACAACUGUAUCCGGAUUAGCCAGUACCAACUCUUGCAUGACAAUUGGUAGUUGUGCUAUUGAAGUGGGCCAAUCACCGUAUACGAUGUCAAUCGCACGACGCCUUGCAUACCAAGCCUUUUUGUACGAGACAUCUGUAUCAAAAGCACGCUUAAUGGUUGUUUGAAUUUCCUUAAUGGCAUAAAGUGGCCCAUUCUCAACAUGAUGUAUGAUAUAAUCCGCAAUUAGUUCAGAAGUCAAUUGUCGGUGAUCAUUGCUGUUAUCUUUACUAUUAUUAUUUACAUUUACUAUCAUUUAAUAUACGGAGUACUUUUUAUCCUAUUACUAUUACUUUUUUUACUUUCAUUAUUUACUACAUUUACUAUUUACUAUUCACCUUUUUUUUACUAUUUACUUUUAUUAUUAUUAUUUAUUACUAUUACUAUUACUAUUUAGUAUUUACUUUUUUACCUACUUGUAUUAUUUACUUUUAAUAGAAAUUUUGACCAUUCUAAACAAGAACGUAUUAAAUAUAAUUAUUAUUGACUACUUGUACUAAAUAGAAACAUUAUAAUAUAAAAAUUUGUAAAUCCUAAACAUGAAUGCUAAUUAUUAAUAUAGUAUUACUAAUUUAGCUAAUUUAAAUACUAAUCAAAUGUACUCAACUCAUAGUACGUAAUCAACUAACUAACAAAUUACUAUUAACUACAUAUAACAAAUAGAUUGAAUGUAAUUCCACGUAACAAACUGAUUAAAUGUACUAGUUACCUCUUAGCAAACUAAUGUGAUGGCCGUCCACCAAGUCAACACUGAGCGAAGGUUGUUUUUGAUCGGUACAGGAAAUCAAUGAGCACAACCAUCUACGGCUUCCUUUUUCCAGUUAUGGCAAACCAUAAACCAACAAUCCAUUGCACAAUGUGAAAGCACAAAUGCAGGACCACAAUACCAGCAGUUCUUCGAUAGAAAAUCUAAAGACACAAUUGCUGCGACACAAUGGAAAUGAACAAAUGCAGGACCACAGUUGCAAGAGUUCUUCGAUACAAAACCCCAGUAAUAGAACGAAGAAAUUGGGGAGACUCACAAAGAAAGAAGUUGGAGAGAUAAGGAUGCAAACGGGGAUCUGGUCGGUCAUGUAUUUGUAGCCAGACAUUUUGCAUCGAUGUUGCCGACUAUAUCCACCCGUCGAUCAAUAUUUGAUCAUCGGCCAAAAAAAUAUUGCUAAAAAUAACUGUCGGUGGCUGGAUUUUAAUAAAAAAAUUAACUUAGCAUCGUUGAUCCACUUUUUAUCAACGGUAAGAAGAAUUAUUGUCAAAAGCCGCAUUGCGGCGUAUGAAUUUUUUUCCUAAUAAAAGGUUUGCACCGUUGAUCAACUUGAUCAACGGUGUAAAGCCUUUUGGAAACAAUUUUCAAACGCCGCAUCCAUGCUAUACUUGAGCACCGUUGAUCAACGGUGAUGAACUAUAGCUGCAGGUCACUGCAAUGCGGUGUUUUUUUUUUUUUUUUGUUAAAAAACAUUCUAGUAAUUGUGGUGACUUUUUUUUAUUAAAAAAAUUUCUACUAUGCUUUGGAUUGCCAGUUUAAAAAAAUAUUUUUUUUGAUAAGGAAAAAAUAUUAUUGGUCUUUAUGCAUGCGGCUAUUAAAAAGUUUAAAAAAAAAAACGGUCGCCGCAUGCAAAAGUGCAUGCGGCUAUGAAGAAAAGGGAUAGCCGCGCAUAAGGCUAAGCAUAUUAAAAAAAAAAAAAAAAAAAGCAAAACAAAAAUUUCCGUUUCAAUCGCAAAAGAAAAAGGGAAAAGAAAUUUGGUUUUUUCAAAUGCCGACAAUGACAUUUGCAGCGACCCCUCAACCAUCCCACACCAACCCACAACACUACUUUUCGGACUUUUUUCUUGAAUCGCAUUAUUUUGGGAAAUUUGCCGUAUUUAUAGUAGGAUAUAAUCUGCUUCGACUGUCCCUUCGGCGACACCCGAUAAUCUGCUUCCACUGUGUAGGAUAUUGUCUUGGCAGGCCCUUAGCGGGGCAUUUACGUAUAAAUAAUUAGUUCAGUUAGAGUUGUCGGAACAUUAUAACCUGGGAAAAUAGAAUAGGGAAAGGAGGUCUAGGUUAGGUAUUUGCAUUUUAAAGUCAGGAUACAGCUCAAAACUUGGAAAAUAGACUUUUGUACCGAAAAAUCUCCAUUAGAUGCUGUAAUGUUGGAGCUGGAUCGUCCGCCUUUCUGAAGGUGCCGCUGCUCCGGGUAGCCCAAAAAAAAAAAAAUUGUGAAAAAAGCAAGUGAAAAUGAUAAGAUCCAGCCUUUACAGGUCAAUAAUUUUGGGUUCAAUUCUAACAAUUAUGUUAGACUGUAUUAAUUAGGUUUAUAAAUUCUCAAAGAAUCAUUUCUAUUGAACCCUUGAAAGCAAAAAGAAUCCACUAGAUCGGAUUACUGCAACAGCAGGGGCAGCUAUGCUUGCACAGAAGAUUAGAACUGAAGGUUGCAUUCCCUUGAAUUAUCAUUACUUUGGAAGGGCAAAUUUUUCUGGCCUAACAUGAGAUUGAUGAGCAAUUCUAUGUGUUAGCUUAUCCCUUUCCAAAAUUCUAUUCUUGGGCUGAAAUUAUGUACUUCUCGCUUUAAGAAUUUGAAUAGUUUAAUCUACAAAUUGCUAACUCUAAAAGCAAGUAAAUGUUGGAAACUAAAAAUUAUAUUCUUUAGGGGCCGAUUUCUGUUAAUAAAUCUUCGAGGUUUCACCAGUUAAAUAUUCCAAAUUGCUUGAGACUAGGGUAAUUGCUGUUUAGACUUUAGUGCAGGAUAGAACUAUACGUCCGUGGCAACCAUUCAGAAAAAGAGGGGAAAAAAAGAGUGAUAUACAGAAAUGAAUCAAUUUGAAUUUUAGUGGGAUCAGGAACAAGUAAUACUGUAAUGCUUCUUGUUUUAAUCUUCAGUGCUAGGCCCAUCUGUAGAGAGUUGGAUGUGGGGUUUGAGUCAUGAAGAUAUUGAACCACUACGAUUUGCUCAAAAGUAAACGCUAAAGACUUUGUCAAAAUAUUGAACCACUAUGAUUUGUCGAACCACGGACAGGAACGGUUGCUGGCAGUUUUAUGCAUUUUGCACACGACGUAAUUUUAUUUACACAACGUUUAACUUUAGAACAAAUUUUUGUGGAUCCCACAUACGUUGUUAAAAACGAGGUACAAGAAGUGAUAUGAACCGUACAAUUUUUUUGGGCCGAAUCCUGGUCUUUAACUGUUCAGAAACGAUCCUUCUGAUGACCGUCCCUGUCCCGUCUCCAUGAUUUAUCAUAUCUGACAAGACAUGCACAUAUUUAUAGGUGUACAACGAUUCAUUUGGAUGGAAGAUAUGUUAGAAUUUAUCUUUAUUUGUGUUAAUUUUCAAGUAUGUUAUAUCUAUUAGUUUCAGAUUUAUAUGUAUCUUUGUCAUGAUUGAUUUGUAUGCAUUUCUGUCUUUAAUUUAGAUUCAAAGAAAGGUUAAUAGCUAUGGGUUCAAAUCCUGUCCCCGCCCUCUAGUUCUCCCCUUGAAGCCUAAAAAUAUAAAAGGCUGUUUGGGUACAAUUGGCUAGGUAAUUGUCAAAAUUGUAGUAUUUGACAUCGCAGCAGAGUAUUUUAAAUCAUGAUUAUUGUAAUCAGACUAUGGAAGCCAACUAUGGUUAUUGGUUUUGAGAUUUUUUCCCUACGGUAGAUUUUCCUUCUUGCAUGUGCAUAAACCUAUGCUUUGAUCUCCGGUAAGAGAAUGCUGGAUAAGGUAAAAUUUUAAUAGAACCAAAACUUCGUAAAAUCUGUUGCAUGUUAUAUGAAUAAGUUGCAUGAGUUUGACCCAAAAGUGCUUUUUUUUUUUUUUUUGCUCAAAAGUUGAUUGUGAAGAUAUUACUGGUCCAGAAUGAAUGUCCAGUGGAGCCUUAUAAGCGAAUCGUUCUUGGAGCUGGAGGAUACCGAUUGCAUUUAGCAUACAAAAUUGAUGAUAUGACUAGAGAAAUGAGUAGGUCAAAAGCUAUAUUUUAAAACUCGGACAGUGACAUAGUUAAAUUCAAGGCUAGAAAUCAAUGGAUUCGAUCGAAAUUGGACCAAUUUAAGAACCGGGUAUCAUCAUUAUUAUAUCAUAAAUAUGUAUUAUAUAAAGGGAUAAUUUCAGAAACCUCCCUUGAGGUUUCUGACAGUUUCACUCCCUCCCCUGUGGUCUCUGAAAUUCCACAAACCUCCCUAAAACUAAAUAGGCAAGGCCAAAAUAGACCCAAUUUAAAAAUACAAACAAUAAAAAAUUAGUAGCUGGAGAGAGAAACAAGUGUAUACCAUAAAUGCCCUCAUUAUCUUGGGUUAGAGAGCUAAUCAAUUGUGAAGAAAAAGGAGGGAAUUUAGAAGAAUGAAACUUGAGGGGGUGUAAGUGAGACCAAUCAACAGACAAGCACACAACGUCAGUAGUGAACAAAAUGAAAGGCAACGACUCUUUCUGCAGCCAGUUCUAACGUCUAUAUGCAACGGCCAAUUUAGAAGGCUAUUUAUCAGAGUAAAAUGCAGCAGCAAGAGACGCAACUGAAGUGCAACAAGUGUUAAUUUGUGAGGUGCAACUGAAGUGCUUGGUGUUAGGUGAAUUGCAGCAGCAACAAACACACGCACAAAUGGCCAGUUCAAGCAGAAGAGGUGAAUUCCAGAAUUUUGACGGACAGUUAUUCAAGUCAGUGCUCUGUUUCUUUAUAGGCAUAGUUUCCUCUUCAUGUAUUGCUGCCAAUAAUUUUGCAAUGCCUAAUGGAUUUUUGCAUACAUGCAUUCAGGGAAUCCAUUCUGAUUUUUACGUCCCUGAACUAACACCUCUUUUGGUGGCUUCUUCCCUGCUCAUGGUCAUGAACGAUUCUCCACAGCCACACUACCCUUUAGAAUUUGGAUUGAUAAAUAUGAACUCUGACCUGAUCAUACCAAACAAAGAUGUUUGAGAUUUUAGCAGGCAGCACAAAAAGGUUAACUGUUCCACUAUACAUGAGGAAAUGAGAAAUAACAUCACCCCGCCAUGGAACAAAGUUAACUUCGAGGCUAACCUCUAAAUCAUAGUCAUUAUCUGAAGUUGGAGUAGUUCAAAGGAAGAUAACAUCACAUUUCAAGAAACAAUGCUACAAUGAAAAGUAUAGAGCAAAUUUGUGUUAUAACUGCAGAGAUGCUUCUAAAAUUGAGUUAAGCAUUAAUAGAAAAGAAUUUCAUACCUCAGUUUGUCAUCGACAAAGUCCAUCUUGGUUCCUAUGACAUGCAUGAGAGCCUUCGGAUCAACCAAUAUCUUAACACCCUUGUCCUCAACCAACUCAUCAAACUUCUCUUUUUCAUCUAUACAUUUAAGAAAUUUGCGCAUCAGGCAAAUAACUAUCAACCAAAUUAUGGAAACAAAACAAAGGGAAUGCCCAUUGUCUUCUGGUUACAUUGAAUCCUACAACAUCAUUUAUUAUCUCCAACAGUUAUUGCAGUGCACCAACUCUCAUCAGGUGGGAUUCCCGCAACACAGGCAAAUCAAUGAAAGAACACAAAGUACAUGGAUAAACAAAAGUCCAGCAAUGUCGUUGAACAAUCCUUCCUGUUCAUUUUCUUUUUAUUUCCAAAUUUUGGACAGGGGAAUGGCGGUAAAGAAAAAUAGUGAAAGUGGUGGGAAAUUGGAAAGCGUGAGAAACGAACUGUUGUAUGAUGAGGACAAAAGACCCUUAACCAUCCAAGUUUCUACUCAGAUUGUGAUUCCAAGCACUCACCUUAAGUUCAUUAAAUGCACGGAACAAUAUAAUAUCUAGCCAAAUAACCUAGGUUUGACUAGGGUUAAAAUUUUCAAGAUACAGGCAAUUCGAAAAUGUCACCAGCCUAAGGAGUCAACAAAAGAAUCAUCUUCUGGAUUUAAUCGCCGUAAAAUAAAUUAACCAAUAAAAAUCUUCAUAUUCGAACCUUUCAGUUAACGUUUUCACUAAAAGGGCAAAGGAUAGAACCAGGCCAAGUAGAGCCCACUAGCAGAAAUCCCUAUUGUUGUAAGCUUCAAACAGAAAUACUGAUAAAAAAAAAGACCUUAACCUAUCCAUUCCAGUCUACUCGCAUAAAGGGAAAAAAGUUUUUGUUCUAAAUCUACGACAGAUGAAGCCAGAACAAAUAACUCUACCAGAGAUUUUGGGAGGAAAUUUAACAAACUUAUCUUAAUUGAAGCAAAAAUUACAUGCGGCAAUUGGGGAAAAAAAUGUACAAUCUAAAAAAGAAUUGAAGAGGGGCGGGGAGGGGGAUUGAUUUUGAGAAAUGGAACUGCGUAAUUAAGGGUGUAAGAUAAGCCGUUGCAACCGCGAGCUUUGACGCCAAGCUUGUGAAAUGAGCGCUGCCGUUGUUCCAACAGCUGCCGUAUUCUGGAAGCGGCGGUUUCGGUUAAGGUGAGAACUUGCUUUCAGGGCCGAAGCCGGACCCAUCUUCUCCAACCCCUCUCUUUAACGUCCAACAAUUUGGACACGACACGAUUGACAGUAGCAAGAUCAUGGCGCCUAAGUUUGGCGCCAUUUCACUACAGACCGUUUUCUAUAUUGGUUGUUAGGACUCCCAAUUAUGGUUAAUUACAUUAAUUGUGUUUAUAACUAGCUUAACUAAUAGUUUUCAGAUAAUCAUGAAAUAUUAGCAAAAUGGUAAGGGUAUUUAAGUCAUUUUGGCACCAAUGAUGUAAGAAAUGGAACCUCACCAUCUGACAGGGGAGGUUUGUGUAAUUUCAGAAACCACAGGGGAGGGGAGUGAAACUGUCAGAAACCUCAAGGGAGGUUUCUGAAAUUAUCCCUUAUAUAAAUAAAAUUGUAUGAAGAAAUAACUUAUAGAUUUAUUAGUAACAUAACGAAAUAAAUAUCCUUUAUUCUUCAUGUUUGUUUCACGUAGCUUAGUAAAAUUCAAAAGUAUUAAAGCCUAACUCUAAUUUGAUAUUUGUGAACUUUAGAUGCAAAUUAAUGAGUCUAUAACUAAAUGUACAAGACUUAUUUGAAAAGAUACAUCAAAAUCGAUCCUGCAAAUGCCAUUAGAAAAUGUUUUGAGAACUUUGAUAGCAAUCCAAAACAUCAUGGGGGAAAAUGAAAUAUUAAAAAACUUAAGGUAACUAUCCCUAAUUUCUUGGCCUAUUUGGCAACUAGGUUUUUUGUCUAAUUUUUCUCUUACAAGUUUUUUUUAACAAUUUUAGUUACACUAAUUUCAAAAAACACUUUAAAAUUUUUAAAAUACACACUUCAAAAUAUCCAAAAAUACAAAAAAUUUCCUUCUUUUUCUUCUUUCUCCCCCACACUUCCGUCACUAGCCAACCUCCGUCGGCACCUCUUCCAACGCUGGCACAUCAUCUAGCACCGACAGAAGUUUUUUUCCCUUUUUUUCUCUUUCUCCUCCUAUUCCUUUCUCUCUCUUUCUUCCUCCUCCUUCCCUCUCUUUCUUUCUUCCCCUGCGCGAUCAGAUUGCGUGACGGAGGGAAAAGGAGUAGGGGAGGGUGGCAGGGAGGGUGGCAGGGGAGGGAUGGGGGGAGAGAGGGGAGGGGAGGGGAGGCAGGAGGAAGGAGAAGAGGGAAAGGGAGAGGGAAGAGAAAGAAACAGAGAAAAAAAGCAAAAAAAAAAAAAAAAAAAAAGCUGCUGCUACGGGCACUAGUCGCGGCGGAGGUUCCAGCGCCAACACGGCAAGUGGUGAGGUGAGGGAGAAGGAGAGGAGAGGAAAGAAAAUGAAAAAGAAAGAAAAAAGUUUUUAUUUUAAAAGGGAGAAUUGUAGUGUUAGUCCCAAUGUAUUACCCAUGCACGAAACUAGUCCUUAAUCUAUUCAAGUAAAUUUAGUCCCUAAUCUAUCCAAUUUGUGUGUAAAAUUGAACAAUUGACAGAUUCCUUCCAGUUAAGUAUGGAAUGUGGCGCGUGCACUUACUGUACCAGAAGUGCAAGUGGUUUCAAUUCUCCCUUCUAAUCUAACAUACAUGCUGGAACUAACAUGUUAUACACUGAGUUACACUUCAAUACAAAGGUUUGGAAUCAGAUUUCUUGAAGAACCUGCAAUGGCUCCUAAUUCUUUCUCUUGCUGCAACAUUAAUUUCCAGUAGCAACAGCAGCCUUUUCGUUUGAUAUUUUCUCAUUAGUUCCGUUUCUGUUUUAUGUCUAGCUGAUCCUGCAAAGGAUACCUAUUCAACUACAGAUUAUCCUAAGCUAAACACGGAAGUUUAUGACCAGAUUCAAGAGGAAACUUAAUCAAAUCCCAUGCCGGUGCAAGGCUGGAAAAUCUUAUGCAAAGCAACCUGCACCAGAUUUCUUUCAUGCACACGUUCAGAUUCUUGCAAGUUACUACGGUAACCUGCUUUUACUACUUAAAGUGAACAUAUUCAUACAUUCCUAGCUACUUGUUUCCAUCCUCCUUUGAUAGCACCUGCACAAUCCGUACCUGUUUCUUAGCUAAAGAGCAGAAUUUCUUUUAACAAGCUACCAGUUCUGAGCAGGAUUUCUCGCAACCAAACUUACUUUCCUUGACUAGAAUCUAGCAUACUAUAUACGUACUCGAGGGCUUCAGCUGAUAAAAAAUUAUUGCAGUCAUUUUACCUCUUUCUUUCCUUUUAGAGUUUGAAAAAUUGCAGACUGCACUUUUAGUUUCCUGCUUCGGUUCCCAAAACUGCACCAGCCUCUUCUCUCGUACUCACUUUAGGCUCAUGGUUUUGAUGUUACAAGCUGGAGCAAUGAAGCGAGCAAAUGUCUAUCUUUCUCUUCCUCACUCUCUCGUUGCAGGCUGGAAGCAAGGAGAAACCAGAAUGUUCUCUUUUCUCUCACUCGUUGUGUUUUAAGAAAGGGGUGUGGCUGAGUCUCUCUUUCAGUUUUGCUCCUAGUGUUUAGUUGGUAAGAAAAGAGUUGAAGCGUGCUUCUUCACUCGGCCACCGCUCAAUUAAUAUAUCAGUUUCUAUUGCUCAUUCACUCACCGCUUGCACUUAGCUAAUAAUUGGCAGCUAUUUUCUCCUCUAAAUUCAUUUAUCUCGCUGCUUAUAGGACUUAAGAAUCAAAGUAAACAAUCCACUUGGUGGUCUCUUUUUAUUUUUCAAUCGGUGCUGCCAGCUAAGCUGCUUACUCAGACCAACUCCAAGUAUUUCUUUCUCUCAGUUUCUGCUAAAAUUCUGAUGGUUUUAUGCAAUGGUGCUCACUCAGGCCACUGCUCAAAUUUCUUGCAGAUUAUUUUCUCAUCUUCCCCUCUGCCGCUGUCGCUCUUUUCACUCUUCUGCGACCCUCCUGAAAUGGGCUUCCGGGGUAGAACCCUCCAACUUGACAAUGCCCGAACUCACCAGUCGGGUUUGCAGCCUUUUAGUUCUCGAACGCCAUUCAGACCUCAAGAACCUUUCUUUCCAAUUCUCCCACGAACUCGUCGACGCUGUCCUCCAAAAACUGAAGCUCAACCCCUCCGCUUGUCUUCAGUUCUUCAGAUUAGCUUCAAACCAGUCAAAUUACCGACCCCAUUUCAAGGCUUACUAGAAAAUCGUUCACAUUUUGUCCAAGGAUAGAAAAGAACAGAGAUGUGAAAAAAUGAAAGAAGAGAAAAAGAGAGGAUAGAUUUUGAAUUUUUAAAUAGUUUCAUGAUUUACAAACAUUGAAACCACUUGCACCUGCUGGUACAGUGAGUGCACGCGCCACAUUCCGUUACUCAACUGGAAGGAAUCUGUCAAUUGUCCAUUUUUAUCCAAAAUUGGAUAGAUUAUGGACCAAAUUUACUUUUUGAAAUAGAUUGAGAACCAGUUCCGUGCAUGGGUAAUACAUUGGGGACUAAAACUACAAUUCUCCCAUUUUAAAAAUUUUUUCUACAAAUUCUAUAAAAAAUUAUAAUAGAGUUUUAGACAAACAUCCAAAAAAUUUAUUUACCAAACAGACCUCGUUCUGUUGCCUACAUCUUCUAACUGUCUCACCAUUUUGUUUCCAUUCCUAUCGACUUUCGUUAACUAAUUUUCAUUUUGUCUUCCAAUCUUUUCUUUUUUCUCUUUGUUUCCUGUCAAAAUUAUCUUUUAAUCCUGUUUCUUCAUGUUUGUUAUUCUUUUCUUUAUUUAAUCAAACUAAAACAUGAAAACUUAUUAUUCUUUUUUUUUCUCUUCUAUCCAUUAGCUGCUGGCUCCUUUUUUUCUUCUCUUAUUUUGCCUUAGACCUUAGAUUUGCAAGUUUCCUUCUUGCUCUUAGUUUUAUACUAGGUGUUUAGGUCUAUAAAUUGCAGCAACUUUACCAUUACAGAUUUACUUGAAAACGAGGAAAGCCUAAUUCUUCAUCUUUUCUUUUCUUCGUUUUUCUUUUUUUGGCGGAAACAAGUUGCAAAUUAAAAAGACACAUGUGAUAAAAGGUAGAAUGCACUGUUAUAGAAAUGGAUAGAAGUCCUCCAGCACUUGUUUUGCACACAUUUAGAACAAACCCCAAAAACAAGCUAACUAAAUUAUUAUAAAAGAAGAAGAAGAAGAAGCCCUAAAUACCUCCUAUUUGUAUCACAUUAAGUUAAAUUACAUGGAACGUCUAUCCCAUCAUCCACCACUAACAAUGGCACAACCCUUAUUUGCUUAAAGCUUUGUCAAUCCAUCCCCAACUUAUCCUUCACCACUUGAGUUUAGCUGGAAAGUACUGCAAAUCACGAAGCCCAAAAAUAUAAGAACAUAUGUAUGUGGUAGAAUUGUGAGAGAAUAUUUGAUUACAGAAUUGUAGAAAGUCAACAAACCUUUUCAAUGAGGGAGAGAUAAUACGACUUGACCUCUUCUAGGCUGAUCUUCACUUUGCACAUUGCUGUAAAGAUCAUACUUGUUGAACACAUGAAGCCAUUUCAGCGUCUUUUUCCUCCUCUUCAUUCAUCAACUAUCCGUAGUCUUCACCGUUAUGUAGAGCAUAGAACUAAUGGAAUCGGAUAAUGAAGAAAAGGGCAGUAGGAGGCAGAGUACAGUUAUUCCCUUUCACAUCCUGUACAUUUAUCCAACAAAAUUUAAAGGGAAUACUUACAAAAAGCAUACUAUUAACUCUAAUGUUAAGGAUCACAUGACCAAGAUUUAUAAGACGACACAAGGUUUUUUGAUGUCCUGGCUUACCAAGUACAUGUACUCAUCAUGACCCUAGGACAUGGUAAUAGUGAGUCAAUUGUGCAUUUUAUUUGAUGGUAUUUUGUCUUGAUUUUGGCCACUUAUUGUGCAAAGUAAUGGUUUCUGCUCAUAAUUGGUAUGUGUGUCAGUUGCAGGCGCUUGGUGUCAACAAGUGGUGAAAAGAAGCGAAUUUCCAGAAGACUAUUCAUUCCAGAGCGUGCCCACGCCAGAAACCGUAGAGUGACUUAUGAAAAGACGGAUUGCGGUACUUAUCCCUGGAAGCUUGCCGCUAUUUUUGGGGAGAUGUGUUUGACGUUUGCUGCGUUGGAUUAGGAGACAUCUUCAGAGAAUAUUUUGGCAACAAAUCAAGGAGAGAAAUAGGGAAAGAUAUCCCUUAUAGAUACAAAGACCGGAGUGGCUAAAAGAGGGCGGCAGAAAAACUUUAAAAAUAGGAGAGCAACUGACUAGCAGUUUAUCCUUUGUCUUUGUCUUUUCCUUCGGAACGUGAGGUGGAGACUAGCGGCUAUACCUUUUACUUUUUCAUCAACUAAAUUCGAUUCAAGUUUUCUAUUGCAUCAUCGUUAUGAGGCAAGGCUAGGUUCCUUUAUCUAGUUCAGGAAUAAUAAAGGCUCGGUGCACGGACAAUUGUGAGAUCUUUUUAAUUGUUCUACGCUAUUUUAAAUUUUGCGUUCGUGGGUAUUUAAUUAUUCUUUGUUUCAAUAGGCUUUGGAUUUAUUGGAUUAAUGUGGCCAGUUGUUCAAUUGUCUGAAUAGUAUACAGCCAAUCAGGACGAUGGUGCAUAUCACUUGAUUGUUUUAAAAUUAAUGGCAAACGGCACAAUUUCAUUGCCUCGCAAGUAGUCUAAUCUGUGUCGUAAGAAUAGUUAAUCUAGUUUAGAUGAACCCACAUGUGUGUUUGUCAACUAAAAUUGGGUCUCUCUAAUUUCUAAAGUUGGGAAUAGAUUAAGUCCUACGAGCGUCUCUGGGGUUAUCUAUUUUUCAAGGGAGUAGUUUAAGAGCGUUUCUGGACUACCUUAUAAUUAAGGAGAGAUUGGUGGUUUGGUGGUUGUCAAAUUGCUUUAACCAAUUUAUUUGUGAACGUGUAAAUUAAUUCAGGUAUUUAUAAUCAAUUGCGUGAGCCGGUGUCGAAAGUAUUUCCUUGACUAGGGUGUGUCAAUUAAUUGUUUAUUAUAUUCUUUAGUGACUGCAUUUUUUGCGAAUUGGAAAUUCAUUACCCUUACAUCUUUAAUUUGUUCUUUAAAUCUCCCAUCCUAAAACCUCUCAAAUUAUCUGUGUAAUAAAUCCGCCAGUUUCCUGAGGAGACGACCCUACUUACCACUAUACUCAUUUAGUUUUGGGAGUAAGUAUUGGUAUAAAUUUUAUUUUAAGUAGUUUGACAGCUACCAAAUUUUAGCGCCAUUGCCGGGACCUGGUGUUUGAAGUGUUUUAUUGCACAGGCUUUGUUUAGCUUAUGUUUUAUGCCUUGAUCUUCCGGUACAGGAAGACUCGAAUUUGACCUAGAGAUCGAGAAAACAGCAAGGAGGUUGACGAAGGAGACUAAGUUGCAAAAGCAACAAGCUUCAGCUACACUACCCUCCGGAUUUGAACAAAAUUCUAACUUAAGUGACUCAUUAGUUGAGUUGGAAACGGACUUGACUGAACCCAACGAAACAAUGGCAGCCCAAAGGACUUUGAGAAAGCUUGCAACACUGAAUGUUAACCAAAAGCCUCUAUGCAUUACUUAUCCUAACACGGAGCAGGCUUUUGAAUUAAAAUCUGGGUUGAUUCAUUUAUUGCCUACUUUUCGUGGUGUUGCAGGUGAGGGCCCACACAAACAUUUGAAGGAAUUCCAUGUAGUGUGCUCACCAUGAAACUUCAGGGUGUUACGGAAGAACAAAUCAAGCUACAUGCGUUUCUUUUUUCCUUAGCAGACAAGGCUAAAGACUGGCUGUUCUACUUGCCAUCGAGAUCCAUUACUACUUGGGAAGGACUGAAACGGCAGUUCCUUGAGAAGUUCUUCCCAGUCUCCAGGGCUACCAACAUUAGAAAGGAAAUAUGUGGAGUUAGGCAGGCCAAUGGAGAAAUUCUCUACGAAUACUGGGAGCGAUUCAAAUAACUGUGCGUCAAUUGCCCGCACCAUCAGAUCCCUGACCAAUUGUUGAUCCAGUAUUUUUACGAGGGACUGUUACCCAUGGAUAGAACCAUGGUGGGUGCAGUUAGUGGCAGUGCUUUGGUAAAUAAAACAACAGAUGAAGCCAAACGGCUGAUCUCGCACAUGGCAGAGAACUCUCAACAGUUUGGAAUCAGAUCUGAGGGAGUGACUAGAAGGGUCAAUGAGGUAAAUCAUUCUGACCUUGCAAAUAAAUUAACUGAGAUUACUACCUUGGUUCGUCAAAUGGCUGUAGGACAAGUACAAACAACUAAAGCAUGUGGAAUAUGUGCUGCUCCUGAACACAUGACCGAUAUGUGUCCGACCCUUCAAGAAGACCCCCACGAGCAAGCCAGUGCCAUAGGAGGUUUGCCUGGACCACCCCAAAGGAGAAAUGACCCAUAUGCGCCCACAUACAAUCCAGGGUGGCGGAACCACCCUAAUUUCAGCUAUGCUCCAAAACCCUCAGGUUUUCAACAACCAUUCCAGCAGAGACCUCCAAUACAGCCACCAUCCACGUUAAAUUCAAGUAUGCCCCUUGACGAUAUGGUUAAAUCACUAGUUAAUAGCACUUGUCAAAUGCAGCAGGAUUCGCAGAGAUUCCAACAAGAGACUCGCACCAGGAUUCGUAAUUUGGAAGCGCAAGUGUCACAACUAGCGUCUUCAAUGAGCAACCUUGAGAAUUGUAAUAAAGACAAGUUACCAGCUCAAGUGAUUCCCAAUCCAAAGGAGAAUGCCAAUGUGAUGCUUCUGCACAGUGGCAAGGAGGUGCAGUCCUCAAGAAAGGAAGCAAUAAGAGCUGAAGAUGAACAAGUUUCUGGGGAGCUUGAGAAGGAAACGGUAAGUCAUCAGCCAGAUGUUCCUAAGGUCUUGGAUAUUAACUCUCCUUUUCCUAGCAGGUUGGCUAAAACACAAAAAGAGGAAUCAGAGAAGGAGAUUCUGGACACCUUUAGGAAAGUGAAAAUCAACAUCCCAUUGUUGGAUGCGAUCAGGCAGUUACCAAAGUAUGUAAAGUUUUUUAAGGAGUUGUGUACUAAUCGGAACAAGUUGAAUUUUCACGACAAAAUAAAGGUAGGUGAGAAUGUGUCAGUAGUCCUCCAAAGGAAGUUGCCGCAAAAAUGCAAGAAUCCAGGUAUGUUUACAAUACCAUGCAUUAUAGGCCAGAAGAGGAUAGAAAGAGGUAUACUUGAUCUAGGGGUAUCUAUUAAUGUUAUGUCUUUGCCAAUAUUUAGGGACUUAAACUUAAGACCUCUAAAAGAUACAAGGGUAAUAAUUCAACUAGCCGAUAGGUCAAAUGUUUACCAUGAGGGUGUAGUUGAAGACAUCCUAGUGAAAGUUAAUUAGUUUAUCUUUCCUGCUGACUUCUACAUUGUUGACAUGAAUGAUGAUAACUCAGUUAAUUCAGCUGUACUUCUUCUGGGUAGACCAUUCAUGAGUACUGCCACAAUAAAGAUAGAUGUACAAAAGGGUACCUUGUCUGUAGAAUUUGACGGGGAGAUAGUUACUUUUAACAUUUUUGAUGCAAUAAAAUACCUGAAUGAAACUAAGUCAGUAAAUUAUGUUUGUAUCACUAAUUUAGUUGUACAAGAUCACUUUAAGCAGAAUUUUAUGAAGGACAAGCUGGAAUUCGUGUUACCACAAAGUAAGAUGAAUACGGAAGUGGAAAACGUGGAUAAGGAAGAUAUUAGAGAAGCAAUUAUGUCGCUACAUUCACGUCCAAAAUUUCCCAACAGGUCAGUCAAAUCAUUUUUACCAUUACCUCCUUCUAAUGAGAGAAUUUUGCCCUCUGUUGAACAGGUACCAGAGUUGAAAUUAAAAGAAUUGCCGAAACAUUUGGAAUAUACUUACCUGGGAGAUCAUAACACUCUGCCGUUCAUCAUUGCAAAUAAUCUGACAGCAGUCCAAGAAGAAAAACUCUUACGAGUUUUGCGAGAGUUUAAGCCUGCAAUUAGAUGGACAUUGGCAGAUAUCAAAGGUAUAAAUCCAGCCAUUUGUAUGCAUCACAUUCUACUGGAGUAGGAUGCAAAACCGGUAAGGGAACGUCAAAGGAAGCUUAACCCAACCAUGAAAGAAGUGGUAAUGAAGGAGAUUCUCAAACUAUUGAAAUUAGGAAUUAUUUUUCCUAUCUCCGAUAGUUGGUGGAUAAGUCCAGUGCAUGGCGUCCCUAAAAAGAGCGGAAUUAUACUUGUGCGGAAUAAAAAGAAUGAAUUGGUACCAAUAAGACUCCAAAAUGGGUGGAGAAUGUGUAUUGACUUCAGGAAGUUAAAUGCGGCCACAAGGAAAUAUCAUUUCCCGUUACCAUUCAUCGAUGAGAUGCUCGAGAGAUUGGUAGGUAAGUGUUUCUUUUGCUUUCUUGAUGGCUACUCUGGUAUUAUCAAAUUAUUGUUGCUUAAGAGGACCAGCACAAAACCACUUUCACUUGCCCAUUUCAAUGCUCCAAGAACGUUUCAAAGAUGUAUAAUGAGUAUUUUUUCUGACAUGAUUGAAAAUUGCAUUGAAAUAUUCAUGAAUGAUUUCACAGUUUAUAGUGAUUCUUUUGAUCAAUGCUUGCAAAAUUUAACAAAGGUUUUACAGUGAUGCAUUGAAACAAAUUUGGUCAUGAAUUAUGAAAAGUGUCAUUUUAUGGUGAAGGAAGAUAUUGUUUUGGGCCAUGUUGUUUCAUCUAGGGGUAUCAAAGUCGACAAAGAAAAAGUUGACUUGAUUACUAGCUUACCUUACCACACUAAUGUCAAGGAGAUUCAUAGUUUUUUUAGUCAUGCAGGUUUCUACAGACGAUUCAUCAAAGAUUUCUCACGAAUUGCACAGCCAUUGUCCUGACUACUUUAAAAGGAGGCAUUAUUUGAUUUUGGAGAUGCUUGUAAAGUGUCCUUUGAUACACUAAAGAGCAUGUUGACCACAACUAGUCAGUACGCAGUAGGAGCUGUGCUCGGUCAGAAAAUUGGGAAGUGUAGUCAUGUCAUUUACUAUACGUCAAAAACGUUGUCGCCAGUUCAAUGCAACUACACCACCACUGAAAAGGAGCUUUUUAGCAAUUAUUUUUGUUUUUGAGAAAUUUCGAUCAUAUUUGUUAGGAUCGAAAGUAACAGUUUUCUCUGAUCAUGCAGCCUUGAAGUACCUUUUGGCAAGAAAGGAGUCCAACCCUAAACUCAUUCGUUGGAUACUCCUGCUGCAAGAAUAUGAUUGGAAGAUUAAAGAUCGUAAAGGGGUUGACAAUUCAGUGGCAGAUCUUUUGAGCAGAUUAAUUCGAGAAGAAGAGGUAGUGCCCAUAUCCGAGGUAUUUUCAGAUGAACACUUAUUUCAACUUGCAGGUGAGGAACCAUGGUAUGCUGACAUUAUUAACUUUCUAGUCAGUCACAAAUUUUCAAGUUGUAUGAGUAAGACUAAGAAGGAUAAAAUAAUACAGGAUUCUCGAUAUUACAUUUGGGAUGAACCCUAUUUAUGGAAAAUAGGGUCUGACCAAAUCAUUCGUUGAUGUGUUCCCAAUGAAGAAAUUCCCUCUAUACUUGUUCAUUGUCAUAGUUACGCCUGUGGUGGUCAAUUUUGUCCUAAAAGAACUAUUCAAAAAAUAUUUGAUUGUGGUUUUUAAUGGCAAACCUUGUUUCGUGAUGCUUAUCUAUUUUGUAAAAGAUGUGAAAAAUGCCAAAAGUUUGGGAAUUUAUCUCACCGGGAUGAAAUUCCCAAGUUCCUAUGUUAUUUUGUGAAAUCUUUGAUGUCUGGGAUAUGGACUUCAUAGGACCGUUUUCCAAUUCUUUUGGUUUUCUUUAUAUUCUGUUAGGCAUGGACUAUGUGUCGAAAUGGGUAGAAAUAAAGGUUACUCGAACUAAUGAUUCACGAGUUGUUACAAGAUUUCUGAAAUCCAACAUUUUUAGUAGGUUUGGCAUGCCAAGAGCAAUUAUCAGUGACCAAGGUACUCAUUUUUGCAAUCGCACCAUUGAAGCAUUAAUGCGUUAGUAUGGAGUUCAGCAUCGAGUUGAUACUAUCUACCACCCACAGACUAACAGGCAAGCUAAGGUAUCUAAUCGCGAGAUUAAAAAGAUUUUGGAGAAAACGGUCAACCCAAAUCGCAAGGAUUGGAGUACCCGAUUGGAUGACGCAUUGUGGACAUAUCGCACAGCUUAUAAAAUGCCAAUCGGAAUGUCUCCAUACAGGUUGGUUUAUGGUAAGAUGUGUAAUUUACCUGUUGCAAUUGAGUAUCGUGCGUUUUGGACAGUUAAGUAAUGCAAUUUCAACGCGAAUAGAGAUGGCAAAGAAAGAAAACUCCAACUUCAAGAGUUGGACAAAAUCUGCUUGGAUGCUUACGACAAUGCACGACUUUACAAAGAACGCACAAAAUCCAUCCAUGACAGACUACUGCGUAAUAAGAAAUUUGUUAUAGGUCAACAGGUACUUCUAUUCAACUCUCGGUUGAAAUUCAUGCCAGGUAAGUUGCGUCCCGAUGGAUUGGAUCAUAUGUUGUUGUCAACGUUUUUCCCAAUGGUGUGGUUGAAAUUAGAAGUUUAGAGACUAACAAAAAAUUUAAGGUUAAUGGUCAUCGUCUCAAGCCGUUUAUUGAUAUUUUAGAAAUUGGCACUAUUAAGGAGGUUCAUUUGCUCAACCCCGUGUCUAAAUAAUUUGUUAAAUUACAUUUGGUCUGACCACAGACGUUAAAUAGAGGCGCUACUUGGAAGGCAAUCCAAGAGUUUCAAUUAUUAGUUUUUUGUAUGUUUUUAUUUCAUCUUUAUUGUACUCAAGAUAUGGUUGUUUUAGGUCCUAUUGAUAGACAUUCUUUAUUAUAAGUCAUGGGUGUGUUUUGUGAAGUUUUAUUGGGAUUAAAGGCAAAAUUCUUUGGCAGAAGACUUUCUGUUAUAAGGCAUGCCCGCGCCUUAUGCUAAAUGCAACUGGGCAUUUUAAAGGUUGAUGAACAGAAGACUAAGGUCUCCAAGGCGUGGCCUCUCAGUUACAGUCCGUCCUCCGCAAGCGCCAUAAGCCCUUAAUUAUGGGUUCACUCGUCACUCACUUGGCCGUCCGUUUGGGGAUGCUUGACCUGGAUAAAGACCCUAAGCUCAGCCUGGCUCGUGAGAUUGAGCCUUUGGACCUGCACAGUUUGGAGCUGAUGGGCGUUAUUCGCAAGGUAGGUGAUGCCUAUCAGAUAACGCCUCCGGGAGAUGGUGUGCCCCAACCUUAGGUCCCUCCCACUGCGCCAACCUCAGCGGCUGAUCAGGCGGGUCCUUCCUUUUCCACGGCUCCAUCUUCUUGGGACACCCAAUUCCGUACUCUGCAAGACUCGAUUCAUGAGUUGGGCCGUCGAGUUGAGCGUAUGGAUGACCAUCUCGCAGCCUUGCAAGUCCAUUCUACUAUUUAGACAGAAAAUCUAGCAGCCUUCUUUGCCCACAUUGGCUUUUAGCCGCCCCAUCCUACUCCCUCAUAGUGCUUUCGUGCACUCGUUUGGCCUUCAGGGAAGCUUCAAUUCUUUUCUUUUUGAUUUCUAUUUUUCUUUGUUUCAUUGAGGACAAUGUAGAUUUCUGGUGUAGGGGGGGAGUGGUUCUAGCUCUUUAGGUUUGAUAGAAAAAAAAUUCAAAAAAAAUAAAAUUCAAAAAUAUAUAUGAUGAGUUCGUUUGGCUACAGUUGAAAAUUGCUAGAAUUUGAUGCUAUGAUCAUAAUUACAAUUACUCUACGAGCAUGAGCAGUAAUAUUAUGUGGUUAAAUGUCUUCUUAAUAAUGGAAUUGAAUGAUAAAAUUUGCAAGACUUGGCAAUUAAUAUCCUGUUAUGAGCUAUCGAGCCAAUGAGCGUUGCAUUGAUAACUGCUUUAUGUUCUUUCAUUGAGUGAUGUCACACAUGAUUUGAUUGUUCUAAAACUUGCUCUGUUAUGCAUAUCAAGACCACAUUCUUGAAUUUGAUACAUUAAACUGAUAAGGGCAUCUAGAUUAACCAUUUUUGGCUCUCUAAAGAUUGACCCUAAUCAGAUCUCCCCUAGUUGACCAUGGUUGAGUCUAGACCUUUUCCUUGUUUAAUAGUCCAUUUUGUCACCCUUAACUCCAUUGUGUUUGAACCCCUUUUAUUUUUACCCCAUGUCAAAGGAAUGCCUUGAUUUCAGUACAUGAUAAUUUCGAAUUAUGUUGAAAGGGGAUGAUUGAAAUUAGCGAGUGUGCCUACAGGCCCAUGUAGUUGUGCGUAGUUGAAAGAAAAAAAAAAAAGAAAAAAAAAAAAAAAGAAAAGGGGAGAAAGAAAAGAAAGGAGUACACCAAAAAAAGCAAAAGAAAAAGAAAAAAAUAAGGAAGAAAACAAAGAAAAAAAUGAGAAAAAAGAGUUACGAAGUGCUAUUGUCAAUAUGUGUGAUGUUGAGAUAGUGGGGUGAAGCCCUGGGUUGUGCUUGCACUUGCUAAUUUUUGGAAAAAUUUAUGGGUAUUCUUUGGAAAGAUCAUUCGAAUAAAGAAGCAAAUUGGAAUUCAUGCAGCGGGUCAAUGGUAUUUCCUUUGACACAAUGAGUUUAAAUUACUUAUUUGAUCCAACCCGUGCCUGAGCCCUAUUACAACCUGCAUCAAGAUCCUUUGAUUUUUGCAUUAAAUUUAAUUCUAGUGGUGGCGAUGCAAUAUAUUAGCAAGCAUAUGGUAACAUCAUUUUAUUGUGUGAGGAGAGUGACCCUAUGUGUUUCUUGUCGGAGUAAAGAGUAGUCAUAUGCCAUUCUUCGAGAGAGAGUUAAGUCGUGAAAUUUCUGAAUUUGAUGACAUGGUUAGGAGGAUAGGACAUUUGUGCUCACAGGAUGGACUGCUACAUGUGUGUAGCUGUAAUUGUAUCUCUGAACUUUGAGAUACUUGAGAACAAGCAUUAUCUUAGUGUGGGCGGAUUUGAUAGUGAGACAAUUGUGCUUUUUAGUUGAUGGUAUUUUGUCUUGAUUUUGGCCACCUAUUGGGCAGAGUAAUGGUUUCUGUUCAUAAUUGGUAUGUGUGUCAGUUGCAGGCACUUAGUGUCAACAAGUGGUGAAAAGAGGCGAAUUUCUAGAAGACUAUUCAUUCUAGAGCGUGCCCACGCCAGAGACCGCAGAGUGACGUGCGAAAAGACGGAUCGCGGUACUUAUCCCUGGAAGCUUGCCACUAUUUUUAGGGAGAUGUGUUUGACGUUGCUUUGGAUUAGGAGACAUCUUCAGAAAAUAUUUUGGCAACAAAUCAAGGAGAGAAAUAGGAAAAGAUAUCCCUUAUAGAUACAAAGACUGGAUUGGAUAAAAGAGGGCGGCGGAAAAACUUUAAAAAUAGGAGAGCAACUAACUAGCAGUUUAUCUUUUGUCUUUGUCUUUUCCUUCGAAACGUGAGGUGGAGACUAGCGUCUAUACCUUUUACUUUUUCAUCAACUAAAUUCGAUUCAAGUUUUCUAUUGCAUCAUCGUUAUGAGGCAAGGCUAGCUUCCUUUAUCUAGUUGAGGAAUAAUAAAGGCUCGGUGCACGGACAAUUGUGAGAUCUUUUUAAUUGUUCUGCGCUAUUUUAAAUUCUGCGUUCAUGGGUAUUUAACUAUUCUUUGUUUCAAUAGGCUAUUAUUGUUUGGAUUUAUUAGAUUAAUGUGGCCAGUUGUUCAAUUGUCUGAAUAGUAUACAGCCAAUCAGGACGAUGGUGCAUAUCACUUGAUUGUCUUUAAAAUUAGUGGCAAACGGCGCACAAUUUCAGUGCCUCGCAAAUAGUCUAAUCUGUGUCAUAGGCAAUAGUUAAUCUAGUUUAGGUGAACCCGCAUGUGUGUUUGUCAACUAGAAUUAGGUCUCUCUAAUUUCUAAAGUUGGAAAUAGAUUAAAUCUUAUGAGCGUCUUUGAGGUUAUCUAUUUUACAAGAGAGUAGUUUAAGAGCGUCUCUGAACUAUCAUAUAAUUAAGGAGAGAUUGGUGGUUUGGCGGUUGUCAAAUUGCUUUAACCAAUUUAUUUGGGAACGUGUGAAUUAAUUCAGGUAUCUAUGAUCAAUUGCGUGAGCCGUUGCCGAAAGUAUUUUCUUGACUAGGGUGUGUCAAUUAAUUGUUUAUUAUAUUUUUUAGCUACUGCAUUUUUUGCGAAUUGGAAAUUCAGUACCCUUACAUCUUUAAUUUGUUCUUUAAAUCUCCCUUCCUAAAACCCCCCAAAUUAUCUGUGUAAUAAAUCCGCCAAUUUGCUAAGGAGACGACCCUACUCACCACUAUACUCAUUUAGUUUUGGGAGUAAGUAUUGAUAUAAAUUUUAUUUUUGGUAGUUUAACAGUCACCACAUGGUAAUAUUGUCCAGUCCACAGUUCUCAGUGUAGAUUCCCAGCUUAGUGUUGAAGUUGCGAUUCUUGUAGUCCGGAUUUUCCUUGAAAAACUCAGCAAAAUUUGCGAUAGAAGAGCGGUUGGUUAUCCAGAAAAUUGUACAGUAUUAGAUAAGACAAGGAAGCUUGAAUUGAAUUAUGAGAAUUAUCGCCUGGCAAUGAACAAUGACCUCGCUAAAAAGUGCAUCCGAGCGGAAACGUGUCACCUGAGAAGUAAUAAAUCGACAUGGUCCAGAAAUCAAUGUCCAAAGUCCAAACUAAAAUCAAAUGAAUAGGGAUCAGACAUUAGGCGUCACUCGUCGGACUUACCUACAACACACCAUUGAGGCUCACCAUUGAACGAUGUCCCCAUACAGUAUCAGAUUUCCAGCUCUUAGCAUCAUGCUACACACCUUUAAGUGCAUUGAAUCACAACAAAUGUAGCGCAUUACGUGAGAACUCAUUGUUUGGAUUCAACCAAGAAAAUCCUGUCAAAGUGCUUGCCAACUUGUGCUUUUACGCAUCCACCUGGUUAUGUAACCAUCUUGUUUUAAUUCUUUUUAAUGGACACACUCUGGAUUUAGUCAUUUUAGAAAUUGAUGGAGUGAUGUAAUAAAUAUUUGGCUAUCAACCUUCUGGAUCUGUUCGAUGGUAGAAAAUGAUUAUAUGACAUGGCAGUUGAGAUUGUGUGUAAUUACACAUAGUCGGCCACGUCAUAGAGUAACACAUGUACACACAUCUCAACUACCACAUCAUAGAGCAACACAUAUAACUAAACGUGUCAUGUUGAUUUCCUACCUUAAGAUUGACAGCUAAAUAUUUAUUACUACACCACUUCCAUCAAUUUCUAAAAUAGCUAAAAUCCAAAGCCUGAUCGUUAAUAUUUUCUUUGUAACGUACGUCCGUAACUCUUCAGACUAGCAAGAAAUCUUGGCACCAAAACAAGAAAGGUCAGUGGAAGGUGGAGUAGCUCAAGUCUGAACACAUCCUCCACCCUCUAUCCAUCUAACCAUGCAUCCAUUAAAAGCUUCUUUUGCUGAUCUAAAUUCUAAGCAGAGCAGUCCAAAAAACUCACCAAGGGCUUGGCAUCUUCCCAUAAAACCCAGAAAAAAGAAUCAAAGAUAAGAUGUCUGGUUAUAUAUACAAAUUUGUAACAAGCUAAAGCAUCCAACCUAUUCACACACACAGAAGAGAUAGUGAACCGUUAACACUCGUGUAGUCAUGUUCUUUAAAGCUUGGCAAAUUCAAUUGCACCACGAAACUCCUAUUACACAUGUUAGAGAGAUGACGAAAACAAAGUGCAUGGCAUAACAACUCACACAGAAAUGGGAAAAGGGAAAAAAAUAAUAAAACAAAAGAUUGAAAACAAUGCUAAUGGAUGUGAUGCACCGUGCAGUAUCAAGAUUGAGAUCCUCUACUGUUGCAGAGGAAACCGCAAAGAGUAUGGGUGGCUGGAGAUCGGACCGGAGUAGCUGGGCUCGACUUGAAAAUCACUCCGGCCGACUCGAUCUCAACUGUACAUCGAGUUGGGCAGUUCUGAUCUGAUCUCCAGUCAGCCACGGAUUUAAGGGGGGGCUGGUGGGGGCUUAAGCCCCCCCCCCAAGCCGCCGGAAAACCCCCUAUAUAUAGCCUGGGUCCAUCACCAAGGCAAUGAUGUUUGCCCCAUACCUGGCACUACCAAGAUUGAGAACCUCGAUCAGAAUAUAGGAGCUUUGUCUGUAAAACUGUCCGCAGAGGAAAUGGCAGAACUCGAAUCUAUUACUUCGGCUGGAGUCAAGGGUGAGAGAUACGGGCCUGAAAUCAGCACUUGGCAAAGUUCUGAAACUCCACCUUUGUCAACCUGGAAGGGCAUAUGACGAGCAAGUUUGGUUUGAUAUUUCGUGGACUUUUGUUCAGCUUUAGCUUGGAAGAGCACAUGAGUGCAAGUUUGGUUCUAUAUAUAUUUCGUGAACUUUUUUUUUGGUUUAGCUGUUUAACGUCUUGUGGAGUAAUCACAGGGUACAACAUGUGCAGUAUUUGAGUUUUGCAGUAAUCACCAGGUUCCCGGGCUCUGGACAUAAUAUAAUCGAGGGCUCAAGGGCUGGCCCAAAUAAUUUUACUAUAAAGGUGAUGCAGUUGUAUCUUGAACCAAUUGUUCAAUUUGUGGUUAGCAUGUUAAUUUCCUAUUUUCUACUUUAAUGACGACACUUGCUAUUUGAACUUACAUGGGAUAAAUCUAUUACUAUAUAAAAAGCAUGAUGAGUCUUUAGUGUCCUCGAUUCUAUAAAAGAACGUAAAUUUCAAUUUACUUUUAAUAAAAAAGGAUGAAAUUUCAAUGUAUGCUAACAUAACUUUUAUCUUUUUUUAAUUGAAAAUAGUUAUAUUUAUAUUGAUAAUUAUAUUUUUAUUUUUGCACAAGUGACAUAUUGGAGCAUCUUCUCAUAAUGUGCAACUUAGGUGGUUUGUGAUGUUAUAAGAUAUUUAAUCAAAGGUUAUUUUUUGUCUUAAUUUUAGUUAUGACUAUGUUACAUAUUUAUAAAAUAGACAUACCUUUAUAAUUAAAGUUAAUAUUUGAUAUUUUAAGAUAUCAUAUAUUUAAAUAAAAUAAAAAUUAUUUUGAAUAUAACAUAUUAAGGUAAUUUUGUUUGAAAAAAUUUUGGCCCCCCCAAGGAAAAAAUCCUGGCUCCGCCACUGUCUCCAGUCAUUCACUACGUGGUGAAGUUUCUCUAUAACUAGAGAGAAACUUGAUCUGUAGUAUCAUUAGUAUGGUAAUUACGAGAAAAAUCAGAGAAAUAAAAUACUUAAGUAUGAAAAUUAUAUUAAUACGACGUUUCUACAUGUAUUUUAAUCUUGAUAAUAAGUAAAAGCUUCGUAGAUCAUUUAAUAUUUGCUUUUCUGAUGCGAAUUUUAAGAUUUAUUGGUUUAUUAAUAAAGUUAGUUUACACUGGCUACAGUAAAAGAUGUAGACAAAUGAAUUUCACUCAUAAAUUUAGUUUACUUAAGUUAAUUGAUUAACUUAUCUUGUAAUGCAUGAUAAGCCUUUUAUGUCUUACAAAGAAAUACUAUUUGUGACAUUUCCUAACCUAUACUUUAUGCGAAAUUGGAUAUAAUUGAAAAAGUAAAAGCAGUGUUUGUUAAAAAAAAAAAAAUGUAGAGUUUUUCACAUAAUAAAAGUCUAGCAAAAGGAGACCAAGCACUCAAAACUUCUCUUUCAAGUGAAUUCGGUAGAACUUUUUUAAUAGUUUGCUAAAAAAAAUUGUGAACAUAUAUUUACCAAACAAUGUCUCAACCAUUGCAUAUUGCACGAAGGCAAUAUUUUUUUUUCCAUCAAAAUUCUAUUCUUGUUAUAUUUAUAAGGGAUUGGACUUGAUCGAUGGCAAAUGCAACGUUUCUUGACUUAUAUUCGGUAAAUAAACACAAAAAAAAAGGAAGAAGAAGACAUGGCUAUAUGUUCACUAGAUGAGUUAGUAAGACUGAUUUUUGUCCCUCCAAAGAGUUGUAAAAAAAAGGAAGAGAAACAACUACGAAAAGUUGGUUUACUUCCUAAUUCCUAAUUAACAUUAGAGAACCAAGGUUAAAUCACUUCACCAAAAUUAGAGAUAUCAAGCAUAAACACAAAAUAAUAACUUCACCCAAAAAAAAACACAAAAUUAGAGAUAUCAAGCAUGCAUAAACACCAUGCAAAUAGAGAUCGCAUUUGAAAAAUAUAUAAAAGUUUGCCAAAACAUUUUCGUAACUGAAAGAUGAGUUGGAAUACCAAAACAAAGUAAUCAAUUGAUUCUAGAUUAUUUUCUCAAAAAGAGAAAAAGAACUAUAAAUCAAAAUAAACAGAUAAUCAAUAUUACACCUUAAAAGUAAAUUGCCAAAUAAGAAUAUACCUAACUUGAUCGGAGAAGAAUGAAGGCAUUAUCCCCCUUCCAUUUGAUCCUAGUUGAACAAGUUAAUUAGGAAAACCUGUGCUGCUCUUUUAGGUGAUAAAGAAUGAAAAUCUGCUGAGUUGCAGUAAUAAUCAAAAUAAGUUGUUGGUUUUUAUAGUGAUUGCAAGCCAAUUAAAUUGCUCCACGUCAAAAUGUGUUACGAGAAAAUUUUAUGUAUGUGACGUAAUAUAAUUUUUAUUAUUACGUGUUAUACAGCUAAGAGCAAAUUCUCAGUAAAUGAUGUUAUAUAAUGUUUAGUAUUAGAGGAAGAAGUCAGAUAAACCAAAAUCAAAUUAUCUACUGUCAAUGGUUUGCAUAUGGAAUACUUUAUAUAAAAGGAUAUUUCUUGAUCAAAUUAUGGGAGUAAUCUUGCUAGGAAAGUAGUUCUCAAAAUUCAAUAUAUGCCACCUUAUAGCUCACAUUUCAAGUAAUAAAUUUUUAAUUCUUUAAUUAAGAUAAUUAGCUUUUUUCUUGCCAAAAAAUCAAACAAUGAGAAAAAAAACUCCCUUACCUUAUCCUCUCUUUUUUUUCAUCACUUCAUGUUCUCAACCAAAAAAAAAAAAAAAAAAGGUAACCUAGGCUCAAAAACACAAUUUUGAAAAAUGUCAACAUUUUACAGUCAAGUACCAAUAAACAACUAUUAGGGUUGUAAAUUUCUAGUCACAACCAAUUCAUGAAAAAUAAAAAGAGGGCGGGAAAACCUCUAUGAAUAUUCGGAAGAAAUAGAAAAACUUAAAACUGGCCCAUUGGGUUUAGAUUAUGGGCUUGUUCAACAUGCCCCAUAUAAUGUUCUCGUCGUUUGAGAACUUGGCUGCAAAUAUUUGGCCAUAGAGAAAAAUUUUAUCAAGGUUUGAACUGAAUUUUUUUUUUGACAAGCUUAGUUUUUGGUCUUUGACUAAUAAAACAUUGUCAAUUCGAUAAAUAGGAACCCCACAAUCUUAUUUGAAUUCUAUUUAAUGUAGUGCCAGCAAACUCGAUAACCUUAUUUGGAGCAUUUUCCUUGGUCAAAAAUCAAUUACUAAGCCUGCCAAGUAGUAAAUUUAGACCAUAAUAAAAAAAAUUUCAUCUUCAUUGGCAGUCUCCAUUUCCUAUUUAUAAAGAAUGUCGUAAAAACAACAAAAAAACACGAAAUGAUACUAAUUACGCGUAGCGACCGAAUAAAACAUGCGAUUUUUUUCCUCCUAUCUUUGCCGAUUUUUUUUCCUCCUCCCUCAGCCCAACCCUUUUCUCUGUCUAGGCUUUUUUACCUUCAACGGUUAAACAUAAGAUUUGAACUCUGAAUCUAACAGCGACAAAAACUCUAACAGGCAUCCCUUGACCACUAACUUGUUUCCUUCUACUUGUUAACGUGAUUACAAAGCCUUGAUUUUCGUCCUCCCUCAUUUUCUUCCACAAGUAUCUAGUUUGCAAGAAGAUUAUAUCAAAAUAACCCAAAAAAUGAUAAUCAAACUACAGAACUGGCUCCACCUUGCAAACAUACAUUUAACCAAAUGAAAAGUCAAGCUCCACAAAAAAUGAUUAUCAAUAUCUAACUGUUUUAAACUCUAAAAUUGCUGAACUACAAUUCUGCUGCUGCCAGUCCAAUAACACUUAAAAUUUCUUGUAAAAGCUUUCUUCAGCAAAAAUAACGUGAGAAAGGACUCAACAGUAUCAAUCUAUCGUCGUCAGCCAAAAUGUUUCCAACUUGCAUGCUUCUUCCUAUGUGUUGGAUUUGAAUCUUCUUUUUAAGCAUUUGAAGCUUUUGAAAAAUAAAGAUUGGGACCUUCCUAUGUUUCAUAACGAUCGCCUAGAUAAAACAGCCCUUCAACUCUCGAUCAUUUUGUUCAGAUCUCAUGUGUAAUCAUCACAUUCUGUACAACCUGCUGGUCCUUCAAGGUCUCUUGAAACAACUAAUUCUGAGUAUAUGGUACAAGCAAUAAAGCAAAGUUCCAAAAUAACAACCUUCUCUGAAACACCUGAUCACUCAAAAGCGUUGAUGAAUCUACUGAACUCUCACCAUCACAAUUCCUCAUCAAAUCUACAAAAUUCAUGGUAUACAGCAAUUUUCAGUAUCCCUUUGUCACAUUACACCAGAACAUUAUGAAGUUUGCUCCCUAACUCAGCUUUCCAUUUGACCGCACUCAGUGAAGUAUCGCUACUAAAAAUUGGGAAUGAUGCUCCACAUGUCUAGUACGUCUGAAAGACUUUCAGAUCUUCUCUUGGCAAAAUAAAAGCAUGUUCAACAUCAUUAGGAUCACAAAAUUCUGACUUCGAUUGAGCAAUCGAUGAACACUAAUAACUGAGCCUCUAAGACUAUAAGCAGCAAAUUCAUGUACUAAGCAACGAUACUGUAUACUGAUGAAGAUUUAUUGUGUGUUAACAGAGGAAAACACAUGAACGGUCUAUAUCAUGCAUAAAUGCCAUACUAAUCUUUAUUUAAACAGAAAUUUGUACAUAGACAAUACUAUCGUUUCAAUCUUGUAAAAUAUGUUUUACUUGGUUAAAAAAAUAGAAUUCAACAUUAGGUUUAGAAAGAGCAGAUAGCAUAAUGUUACUGCAUUUUAGUUCUGCCUUGGGGAAAUAGUCCAAAAUCUAGUCACCAAAUAGAUGCUUUAUGAGCAAGUACUCUUCGUUAUAUACAAUCCCAAAUGCUCUUAUAGUGUCUCCUCGUUUUUAUCUCUUUACUUUACACCUUGGAGAGAUGAAACACAGAAAUCAUCUGAUCUAAUGUUUGGCUUCUUGUAAGCUUGGUAAAAGGGUUAACAGGGUACAAAAGAUAUGCUAUAAGUAAGGUGACAUGUGACUAGGAAAACCAACAAAAGAUUGAAAAUAUGAGCUAAAGUUUCAAUAUCGCAGACAACUAUUGCUCCUCAUGGCAUUGCUACAUUCUAUAUUUCUUUAAUGAGGAUAUAUCUAAUACAUUUAUCUAUUAAUAUAGGGCAUAAUAACCAAUAACAGCAAUCUGACAUACGUUAUGGGAAGCAUAAAGAGUUAAAGUAGUAUAAGCGAGAGUUCAUGGAGUUUCACAUAUUGUCUAUGAUUAACAGCUAAGAUUGACAAUAUAAAGAUGAACUUCAUGGCUUCAUUGAAUUAAAUACUUGAUGACUCAAAACUACUGAUGGUUCAUAGAAUGUACUUACCAUAAAGCUCGUAUAGGAAGAGGCACUGAGCACAAGAGCUAAGAAUUUUACAAGUAAAAACUGCUUCAACAUCUAUUUCUCCAAAUGUCAAACAUUUCAUCUCAUCUAUUUCUUUGAACAUCAAUGCUGCACAAUUUUACUCCAUAAAAUAAGAACAAUCUCACAGUUUUUUGAAUGCCUUGAGAACUUCAUUAUCUUCUUGCGAGCAGAUAAGGGCCAUUGCUUUUGCAUUUUUGUUCUUGAACUGUGUAUAAACAUCUUUUUUAACAGAGGUCCAUGCUUCAGAAGAUGUCUUACUGUCUCAACUCAUCUUAAUACCCACAGAAAUUUUUUAUCUCAACUUCCCUAAGAUGUUGAUUUAAACACAGUGGUUUGUCUUCAGCACCAGAAUGGAGGGCUUCAUCAACAGGUAUUCUGCCUUUACCCUGAUUUAAAAAAUAUAGAAAACCCAAAAAAUGAAACUUGAUGACCAGUUCUUGUGGUUGUCUCUCAUCAGUCGAAAAAAUGAAAAAGGACAAAAUCAUUAUCACUUUUCCUUUCUAAGAAUCUUAGUUAAUCCUGACUCACCAUGUCAAAAACUAGCAUUUUCAAAUAGUAGAAUCACUACUAAAUUUCUAGUGCUAGCCCCGGUUGCUGUAAACUCCAAAUGCAUCAAACUUAGAAAUUCAGGAAGCAACACGAUCUGCGAAGGGGGAAAACUUCACAUGAUAGAAAAAGCAAGAGUCAUUCCAGUUUUUAGAAAAUAUAUGUAGAAAAAAAACAUGAAAUCCUGAAAAUUCCAGUGAACCUAACACACCCAGAAGUCGAAGAACAUACCAGUCCAUGUUCCCAAUAUACACGAAGAGACUUUACAUUGCACAUUUCAGCAAUGAACUGACAAAACUCUGGAGCCUAAAGCUCAUAAGUUUGCUUCAUAUAUAUGAAAGAUAGAUUAGCUUUUAGCAAGGACCUGAGCAUGCAAUUUGAGCCGAUUAAUGGAGUUGCACAACAUGUAUACUUCAGACACUUAAGAUGGGGGUAUUAAGAACAACCUAUCCAGAACCAGAUUCGAAGUCCACACCAACAUUUUCAGGCAAGGACUGUUGAUAUUAAUUGAUCCAACAUCACAAAAUUCUACGCCAUAAAUCUGCAAUUCAUCAAGCAAUGUCAAGAUUGAUGCAAAUGCCCAAUCUGUAUUAUCUCCUAGUACUGUCAAAUGUUCCAAAUUAAGAUUCGGUAAGCAAAACAAUUUUGGACCCUUCAGACCAACAUUUCCACUUAAUUUCAAAACUACAAGAGUUUUACCAGUAAAGAUUUCAGAUGGAAAGACGACGUUCUCAAAAAGAUUGAUAUAACCAUCAACCCUGAUGUUCAAGAACCCGAACAUUGCGCGAAAGCACUGAAGAUAUGCACAAGCCAAGCACAAAAAUUUGGCAUAAAGCUGGCUUUAGACAUCCGAAUCUAAGAUGGAACUCUCUUACAACAGAAGUUGAUUCGCGGUUCAUAAGUAGUCUAUUAAUAAAGCCUAUAAACCUCUUUACUGAUUCCACUAUCUUCUCAUAAUUGACAUUGUUAUUGUCUUUUCCUCAUUGUGGAGGAUAUAUAAGCAUAGAACCAUCAAGUCAAUUUCGGGAACAUGAAAGAAAAUGUACCUCCAUCUGGUGGACAAAAUGGAUGUGGGGCUACUAAUUUUGUGGGAAGAAAUGAGAGAAUGUGACAGAGGAUGCCAUCCGGCAGGGCACUGAUACAAUCUUCUUGACAAUCAUCAUCCGGGCUUGAAGGGGAAAGCUUGGCCUUCUUGACUGUGUUUUCAUGGCUGCUUUUUCAGGUGUGUUCUGAUCAUUUAGAGGAAAGGAGCUAGCUAUAAAGCAUUUGGGGUUUGAUCAUCAGUUGGGCUUACUACUAGGAGGUUGCAGAUGAUCUACCAUGGAAGCAAAUGCCACUUUUACCAUGUCCAAAAGCAUUUUCCUUUUUAGAAAACCAAGCCAUUGUCCAUUGUCCAUUAUUCUUAUAUUCCAGAACAUAAAAUACUAAUUUGUUUGUUUACUUUUUUGGUAGGAACGCUUGGAAUGCUUCCAUUUACGGUCUAAUGCAGAAUUUUGGUAGAAGAAUAAAUAGCCUGUUUUGGAGAAAAGAAAGGUAACAAAAUCUCUCUAUUGACCGUUUACACUAGGUGAAGCUUCAGUGACGUUCGAGGAGAGAAUUUUUUAACAUUAGUUGGAAUCAUUUUUCAAGGAUGACAAAAUGACAAAAUAAAUUCAUAGGUGCUGGAUUAUUUUUAGGGAAAGUUUCAGAAACCUCCCUUGAGGUUUUAACAAUUUCAUUUAGCUUCCUCAAAGUUUUAAAAAUUACACAUACUUCUCUUAUCAUUUAAAAUGAUAAUAAUACCUUUAAAUAUUUUAAUGGAAUUCGCUUGUUUGGUAUGCUUAAACGUAGAAUGACUUUUUAAACUUAUUUUUCAUUCUUUUUCCUUCUUAUUCCUUUUUUCAAAAAAUUUUUUUGCCAAUAAAACUAUAGAGCUAGCACUAUUAUCUCUAGUUUUUAUUGUAACAAAAUCUCGAACUAGUGAUUUUUUUAUGAGUUAACUUAUAUGUAAUCCAAUGCUUUUGCUAAUCUUUGUUUUCUAUUUUUUGGUAUUAAAGUUAACAAUAAAUCAAAAAGAAUUAUAUAAUUCCCAAAACCAAAAUAAACCCAAAACCGCAGCUAAAUUAUGAUAAUCCCACUACUCGAAAAAUUAAUAAACUCUAAAUGAAUUAUUUCAACAUUUUCUUUUCUAUCUUAUAAAUAUAAAUUUAAUAAAAUACUAUCAAAAGUAUCAUAUCAUAGUGAUAAAAUUAUUAUUAUAGUUGUUUAUCAAAUAAUAGGCAUGGACAUGAAAAAUUUGGCAUUUUUCCUUAUAAUUACUAGAUAAUCUUAUAAUUGUACAGGAAAUAAAUUAAAACUCAUUACACAAGAGCAUUUUUGGGUAUUCAUUCAAAAAUUUGACCAAAUCAAUAUUAUUUUAAGGUUUUGUUGCGAAAACUAUCAAAUCAAGGGAGGUAGGUGUAAUUUUCCAAUUUAAGGGGAGCUCAGUGAAAUUGUCAGAAACCUCGAGGGAGGUUUCUUAAAUUAUCCCUUGUUUUUAUCAAAUAGAGAGACUUAUUCACACUUAGAAAAUUCCCACCAGACAAUUCACACCAGAUUUGAGCCUCAAAUUUCUUCUUCAGGGAGGCAUUUAUGACAAUAUUUAGAUUAUUUAUUUGAAUGGAUACCAGUAUUAAAACAAAUGUUGUAGAAUACCUUAAACAAUCAUUCAUAUUUUAUCUCAAAAAGGUAAAAUGUAAUCAAAGAAAGUACGUAUUGCACAAGUUUCCUAUACUAGUUUUCUGUUGUUAUAUUACUAGUCGUUGAGAACAAGCCCAUAAUACUUGGCUACCAUAUGAUAUGGCUUCUGCCCCUCUCAAUGGGAGAGAAAAUUUCCCAUGCUUUUACUCUCUAGUCGUCAAACCCAAAAUUCUAGACUACUACUCUAUGGAAUAGUUUCUUUGCCCUUUCAGUGGAGAGAAAAUUUGCUAUCCUUCUACAAUCGUUGUGUUUUUUUUUUCCCUUUAAGCAACUGUCUACAUUUAUUGUGUUUUUAAUGUCUACACUGUCGUUUUAAUGCUACAUUCAUUCUUAUAGCGGCUUAAUUGAAGAAAAUACUUGAGAUAUCUCAUGUCAGAUUAAAAGACCUGAUACUUCAUAGAAAGGACUCAAAGCAAGGCAUCUAGAGGAAGAAACAUUCGCCACAGUAGACAAACAAUUCUACAAUGAAAGCUGCUUCAACAUCUAUUCAUCAAACCCCUUUGAAUAUCUAUAGUGCACUAUUUACUCCACAAGCUAAAUGAGCACAAUCUCACAAUUUCUUGAGCAUCUUGACAACUCCAUUAACUUCUUGCGGGUUGAUGAGGACCAUUUAGUUGGGGAAGUUCUUGAAUGAUAUAGUCAUCUUCUGUAACCCGCCCCAUGCUUCAAGAAGUAGCUUACUAUCUCAAAGCCAGUUGGUGAGAUUCCACGAAUUCCAUUAUUCACUUCCCUCAGAUGCUGACUCAAACAAUGAGGUUUCUCUUAGCACCACAGUGGAGGUGUAUACCAGAGGCCAUAUCAAAUUGACGCUGAUUUAAAAGAAAAAAGGAGAGAAUGCUUGAAAAUUAGUUUGCUUGGUUUAGUUUAUCAGUCUAAAAUACAAAAUGCCAAAACCAACAUUGAUUUUUCCUUAAUUCAGAUCCUAACUCACCAUUAAUUCAAAAACUAGCAUCUCCAAAUUUGGUGCACUCCACAGUAGAAUCUCCAAGAAUUCCAACUUCCAAUCCAAGUCCAUUAAGCACCAAAUGCGUCAAAUUUAGAAAUUCAGGCAACAAAUGAUCUUCCCUGAGGAGAGACUUUUCACAUCACAGAAAAAGCAAAAGUCAUUCCAACGUCUUACUAUAUAGGAUAUGAAAUCCUGAACAAGCCCGGUGACAUAAAAGACAUGCAAUAAGUCAAAGAAACUACCUCCAAAGAGCACCCUCUUAGAUCAAGAUGUUUUACAUUGCAAAGUUGACCAAAAAGUUGGCAAAGCUCGUGAGCCAAGUGCUCGGGUAAUGCAUCCGGAUAUUCACAACGCAGAUCAGCUUUCGUUAAAAACUUGAACUUGCAAUUUGAGCUGAGUAUGCUUUCAUAAAAUCUGUACUCCAAACACUCGAGCUUUGGGGUGUUAAGAACAACCUUGUCCUUUUCGAUGCCCACACCAACUUUGUCAGCGAAGGGAGGUUGAUAUCAACUAAGCCAACAUCACAAAAAAUUACCAGAUCAAUCCUUAAAUCAUCAAGCAAUGGGCAAUUCCAUUUGAGCGUCGAACCUGUACUAUCUCCUAGCAGUGUCAGAGUGUCCAAAUGCAAGACUCUAAGAUUCGGCAAGCAAAGCAAUUUUGGAACCUUCAGGCUAACAUUUCCGUCUAAUUUCAAGACUACAAGGUCUCGCAAGUUAAAAUUUCAGAUGGAAAGACUUCAGGUCCCCAAAACUCACCACCAUAAAAUUUGACCCGCACGUCAAUAACUUGAACAUUGCGCGAAAGCACAGAAGAUAACCAUGAACGAACCACAAUAGUUUGG